rnacentral:lncRNA from 1 species
AAAUCAAUGACAUCACUAUGGCCUUUGUCAAUGACUUGGUUUUAAACUCUGGUUCAAAAUAUCCACUGCAAUGGGAUAAUGACCUUAACAUCCAGUGAUGACUUCAUUUUAGACUCUGGUUCAAAACAUCCAUUGCCAUGAGAUAAUGGCCAUAACAUCUGAUGGACCUCGUUUUCCCAAAGACACGGAAAUGGAUUAGGUAGGGGUGACUCUGAAUCACUUGCAUUGAGUCUACUUCAUGUGAAGUCCCCAAGGUCAGUUGAAGGUUGUCUGGUGAUCAGCUAGAUAAUUCCAAAUACUUGACCCGAGGCUAGAUGCUUGAGGAGGGUAAUUCAAGAGGCCCAACUGUUGUAUAUUGUCUCCCCACAUGGCAAAACCUGUUUUAUCACGAUGAUAAAAAAAAAAAAAAAAGUGUUUAAUUAAGGUAGAUAAUGCAACUUCAGCCAAUAGGGUGUGAGACAGCGAGAGGUGAAGAUAGAGUAACAUACAUUUCUUGUCCAUGGGAUGAUGGCCAUCUAGUAUAUACGAACUUCAAUUUUUAGCCACAUUGAAGAAAGUUGGCCUCUCAUUAAGACACUAUGAUCACAUUUAGAAAUCUUAAGGAAUUUUGAGAAUGUAUCAAUGCCUUGCAUAAUUCCAUUUAGAAAUCUGAGUCCCAGAAAGGUGUUGAUGCCGAAGUCCCAAAAUUUAAAAUUUUGAGACUCUAUUAUUGUCUAUUCUCCUGCCACAGUAACAAGAUUUCUUUACAAUGAACAGUCAUUAUAAUUUCACAUAUGCUAAUGCUAGCAUAAGCCACUUUGAGAAAACAAUUGAUCCUUGGAUUAUUACCAAUCUCAAAGGAAUUGAAGAAGGCUAGAUGGUCAAGGUCCAAAGUUCUUGAUGACAUUUCUAGUUCGCCAAUCGAUGACAAUAUCAUACGUGAAACAAAAGACAUGAAGUCUGAAACAUUCAAAAUCAAAAGCAUUUGUUUUAAUUCUUUAGCAAGAAAAAUAACAUAAUGGAUCUUAUUUGUAUGAUUAUCAAGUUUAACAACACGCCAUUGCCUGACUCCUUAAUUGGCUUCCAAGAUUUAAAUAAUUCAAAGACACCAUUAUGUUUAAUUCCAAUAUAAAAGACUAUCAAAGAAGGGGUAUAUAAAUUUGCUUGAAAUUUAUGCAAGAUAACCAGUCUGAUUGUGGGAGAGUUAACAAACCUCUAAUUUUUUGUCGACAAAAUCUCGUUAAUUGGAUUCCUGAAAAACGUAUUAAAAAUAAGUAAACACUCAUCAUAGUUAAAAUCCAAAUCCCGAGUCAAAAGAAGAUUGUUUAUUGUAGAACUAAACACAAUUACUAAACCUUAUAAUGCAAGAACGCAAGAUUGUCCUCGAACACAUUUCCCAUCUUAUCAUAUUCAAUUUAUGGCCUUCCUACAUAACUGCAUUUUAUAUUUGAAAGGUAAAUUAGACAUUUUUUAUGUGAGUAAUAAGAAAGUAAAUGCCAUGAAAGGCAAACCAUACAAGAAAAGAAGUUGUAAACAUAUAAGAGUGCUUACUAAUCACUGUUGAAUGAUAUGUUAAUUGUCUCUCUUUGAAUCUACAAGAGUUUAUAUUUUGUGAAUCAUAAUAUGCCACCAAGAAAAAUGCCUCCCAGGGUUAAACCCAUAAACACCUUGAUGGAUUAGACAAAGUCUCGUACUAAGAUGCGAAAUCAAUUUUGAUAUUAUUUAUAACCUUUCAAUCUCUUUUGUGCGGACAUUGUCCACUUUGAGUUCAAUGAAUCCUCACAACCUAAAAAUGUGUUUAUCCUAUUGAAUAGAAACUCUCUGUAUUUAUGAUGUUGAUUUAUAAAGAUGAAGAAAUUGUUUUAAAUUUUGUUUUACGAGUCAAUGGGACCACGAAAAAGGAAAACAAAAAGGAAAAAGUUAGUAGAUGUUGACUAAAAUGGAUUAAAAAAACACACACACACACACUCACAAAUAUUAAAAAUUCCUCAACCGAUUGAGAAAAUUCCUUAACCGGUUGCCACUGGUUAAAAAAAUCUUCAACCAGGCCGGUUGAGAAAAUUCCUCAACCGGUUCCCUUUAUUCCUCAACCGGUUGCCACUGGUUAAAAAAUUCCUCACCCGGUUGUUACAAUUCCUCAACCGGUCUCCACUACCUUCACAAGUCGUACCUAUGAUUCACACCAUAACCUAUAGUCUUACAGGUACUAACUAUAUAAUUUUUAGCAUAGAUAAAUGAAUAUAUAUAUAUAGGAACAAAAAAAAAUCUAAUUAUCUAAAAGAUCAUACAAAAUCAAACAUGUCGAACAUGAAUGAUGCCUAUAUAUUACAAUUUCAAUUUGCAGACCAUAUUGAAAGAAGAGUAUAGAAAAUCAAAAUAAAACGGACUUAAUGAUGAAUAAUGUAUGGUCAUCCAAGGUAAGAACUUCCCAAUAAACAUGACGAUAUGUGGAGAUGGAAAUUAUAAAUAUUAGAAAAACAACAAAUAUCAUAAUAAUAAUUUUUCCAUUGCUCAUGUCGACAUCUUUGUACAAAUAAUAGCGACGAUGGUUUGCUUUUCUCUAUUGCCUCCGUGUAAAACUAAAUCACUUGUUAUUUCCCGACGUAGUUUAACAGAAUUACAUAAGUCGGAGACCGUCAUGGAAUCACCAUUGUUGAAUGUCUGCAUAUGUUUAAUGACAUGCACUACACAAUUCCACCUAAGAAAAAUAAAAGAAAAGAAAAACAACUUAUUGAAUGGUUGUAUAAUUAUAGCUCAGAUAAACAAUAGUAAUGUGAGUUAUGUAUUCAUACUAACCCAUUCUCUUGGGUCGGAAUCGAAGGAGCCCAAUCAAUGGAGAAUUGGAAGACAUCUGUCCCUAUGUCAUACAGUUUGAAGAACGUUUGACAAAAUUCAACCUAAUUUAUUAUGAAAGUGUUAAUAAAUAUGGAAGAGAGAAAAAAACAGAAUAAAAGGAAAAUAUAAACAUUAAAGCAUACCACUGUUUUGACACUCUGAAACUGGAACUUGUCUCGAUUCUUCGAUUGUAAUGAAUCCAAAAUUUGGAUAUGAGAGUUUUUGAAGUCAAUGACGCACAAAUACCAAUGACUAGGGCAUUCGUCAUGCAUUGGAAUAAAUAGUUGUAAAGUUAGAAAAACAAUAUAUAUGAGUUGGGGCACAAAAAAUCUACUAUAUUAUAGGUGAAAACAAUAUCUAUUCUAAAUUUCAUAUAUGCAAUUAAACAUUAGAAAUAAUUACUAACCUUCUCGCAAUCAUCUAAUUCGCUAAUGUACUUACUCCCGAUGGAUGUUUUUCUAUCAAAAAAAUGAUGAGGAGUCCCGCACAAAAUCAUUUGCUAAUAAUAAAACAUAAUAUGAACAUUAGUAUAUUGUACUUAAUACGUAAGUAAACAAGAAGAGAAAUAUGAGCUUACUGAAAAUGUCGUGGGAAGAUAACAUCUUAUACUUGCAAUGCCUAUAAAUUGCCUCUGAAAAUAAUUUAGCUUUGAGGCUUCUAGUUUUAUUACCUGUUGUUAAACAAUAACUUCAAUAAAUUAAUUUAAUUAAUUUAGCACACAAUUGAAAUAAAUGAAGUAGGUACUUACAACAUCCAUCAAAUUUUGUCUAGGGCGUAAGCACUCAAAAUCUCCACGAAUUCCAUGUUCAUGAUCAAAGUUAACAAGAAGCUCACUAAAAUAAUAAUAUGUUAAAACAUUCUUUACUAAAUUGGAAGCAUAUGAAGGCUAAAAUUGUAACAAGACAUCUAUUAAUAUUCUAGACACUACAAACCUUUUUAACAAUCCUUUAUUGAAAACAUAAUUAGCAACAAGAGAUUGAAGUACAUUGAAUGAUUGACCAUCCACCACGUCUUCACGAAUGGACAUGGGGAUUGACUAAAUUGAAAACAAGACAUAAUUAUUACCUAUAUAUGUUGAGUAUCCAAAAUAAGAACAUGAUAUUAAACUAUUUGUAUUAAACCUCUGAUGCUUGACGUUUUCCCAUCUUCCUUAAAUUGUGUACAAACGGGGAGACCUUGAAUUUACUUGGUUUCCUCUCCCUUAAUGUACAUGUUUUCAUGACAUGAUCGGGAUAACCACAUAGUGCUCAUAAUGGUUCCUAAUAUGGAAAAUACCAUUAAUAUACAUCUAUUUACUAUGCAAUGGUUAAGUAGUUGUAAAGAAAAUAUUUUUUUCUUUUAUAUGAUACAUACCUUUCCAUAAUCUCUUCUACUCCUUUUGAUUGGAAAUGGUAAAAUAUCUACAUUUUCGUCUGGAAUGAUAUGCACUUCAAUUGAUGUAGCACAUGCAUCUUCAUUCUUUCCAUUCAAGUCCUCAGUACAUAACUUCUCAAUUGUAAAGAAAAUAUUUUUUUCUUUUAUAUGAUACAUACCUUUCCAUAAUCUCUUCUACUCCUUUUGAUUGGAAAUGGUAAAAUAUCUACAUUUUCGUCUGGAAUGAUAUGCACUUCAAUUGAUGUAGCACAUGCAUCUUCAUUCUUUCCAUUCAAGUCCUCAGUGCAUAACUUCUCAAUUGACAAAGUGUGAACAUAAUGUUCAUUUCCAUUCUUAUUGUCCUUAUCUUCAAAACUUCUCUCACACGAGAGAAUGUCAUUCUUCGUUCCCUUGUCGUGCAUUCUCAAAGGUUUUUCGCUUGAUCCAACGAAGAGACCUUUCAAUGUAGUAUAUUUCUCCUCAAAUUCAGUCAAAACUUUUUCACACCUACUACUUGGACCAUGAGACAAAUCAAUUAGAUGUGUCUUUAAUUGUUCAAAGGUUUUAUCCAUCUCCAUUAAGCUCCCACCGUGUUCCUAGUGAUAUAUGGGAACUUCAUUAAUAACAUAAUAAUACAAGGGUUCACUACUAAUAUUGAUACUCAUGAUGAAUAUUGUAAAACGUACUCGUUUAAUAACAUCUUUAUUUGGAUUGAUUUCAAAUUUCUGCUCCUCCUCAUUCUCUCUCUCCAUUGUCAUCGCAUUUCUAUCAACACAAUCCCUUAUCUCAUUUUGUAUCACCCAUAUUUUGACCUACAAUAUAUUCAUCAAAAUAUAACACAUAUCAAAUUAAAAAUCACUAAAAACUUAAACCAAUAUUAAAAGACUUUUGAAACUAUAACUUACAUUGUCAUUUGCAUAUCCACCGACUUUUUUCAAUCUUCGUUUCAUGUCCAGUACUUGAUCAUCUCCCCAAGCAGUAAUCCGAGGACAAGGUCGAGUAUAUAAUGGUAGAAAUUUCUCUUCGAACGAUAUAUGCUUGUGGUAGAAUAACUGCAAUUAUAUUUGACAUACAUAUAUAGUUAACAAAUUUUAUUAUAACAAAUUCGAAAUUCACUAUGAUGUCGAUUAAUUAUAAGGACAUUACCAUUAAAAACAAUAAGCAAUCGCAAACCCCACUUUGUUGUUUCAUCUUAAACUCUUCAAUCCCAUGCACAAGAUAAGACAACACAAAUUCAGCCCAAUUCAUCUUCUUUAUUGAAUCAAUGUCUUCCACAAGAUGUAAGAAAGAACGUUUCACAAAAAACUUCAUUGUUGGGCACAAUAAUGCACCCAACACAAAUAAUACAAAACGAACUUUGAAAUCGUUUCCACCUUCUUUAUCCUCCCUAAUUUGAUUUUCUAACAUCACUAAUGGCAAUUGCCCCUUUUUAUCACAAUAUUUUUUACAUAAAUCAUUGUUAUGGCUAACAUCUUUGUUCAUGCCAAUCUUCAACCCUCUUGCCCUCAAUCCCAUAAUAAAUUCAACAUCAACGGAGGAUAAUUUGAUACAAGUAUUAUACAACUUUCACAUAUAAGUGUUCGGGUUGAAACUAUUUAUCAACCAAAGACAUAACCCAUGAUCAAUUUUCCUACAUCGGAGUUGCAAGAGGCUACCAAAACCUAUUUCUUCUAUGGCUGCUCUUUGCUUUGGUUCUAAUUCUUCAAUAACUCUAAUCACUCGUUCGGGUGAGCAUUGAGUCUGAAGAUAUAACUGAAAAAAUACACAAACAUCAAACAUGUUUAAAUUAAUAUAAUUUCCAACAAAUACAUAAGUAAUGAAAUUAAAUAUUCAUUACAAAAAAAUUGCCUUUGGAGCCACACCCUUUUGAAGUCAAUAUUGUUUUGAACUUUCUUUGGACUUUGCCAUGAAAUCUUAUUUUUCUACUUUUGAAAGUUCAUUCCACUUCUUGCCCAAUUUUUUCCUCAACUACAUUAAUUGGUCACAUACUUUAAAUUCUAAUUUUAAAAUGUAAUUAUAUUAGACACAACAAUAUUACUCCUUACAUCAUCAUUUAUCUUAACUCCUUUAUCCUUCUCUUUGAUCAUGACCAAUUGAUCGUUACUACAAAACAAUUUCAAACAAAUUUAACUAUAAUAACCACAAAAAAAUACAUUAAAAAACAUAUUCUUUUACAUAUUUCUAUUUUUCCUUACUAGUAAUGUAUCCAAACUCCAAUAGGCCUCUUUGGAUUUCGAACAACUUCAACAACAUUGCGUUCGCUCCUAUAAAUUAAAUCAAAUCAUUUAAGUCAAUUUUUAUAAUAUGAUUUCAAAUAUAAUAAAUCAAACAUACUUUCACUACCACUACAAAAUCCUCCCUAAAUCUAUGUACAUUUUAAAUGGUCACAAAAUUAUCAUAUCAAUUAUUUUCAAUCUCCAAUUAUGGAUUUAACCACAUUAUUUUUCAUUAAUGUCAUUGAUCCAUAAAUCUCACAAAAAACAUGAAAUAUAAUGGCUACAAUAUUGUAAAACACAUUAUCAAUACUCACAUUUUUUUUCCUUAAUAUAGAACUCGACAAAUAAUUACGACACAACCGUCUUUCGAUUAACAAAAAAUUGUGUCCUUUUUAGCUUUCUUUCUCUUAGUACUACACAUCUUCUUCUUCUUCUUCUUCCAGUUAUGUCUUCAAUUCGGGUUUUCAAACCACGAAAUUUAAAAGCCGAAAACACCCCUUAAACAAAAUAUAAAAUAUGAAGAAAAUACAAGGGUUAUGGAGAGGAGAGGGGGAAUGGGAAUAUCGUACUCUUUACUUCAAAACCCGAAAAAACCCCAAAUAUGAAAACUAAAUAUGGACAUAAUCAAAGGGGGUGCGAGAAAAUACAGAACUCGAAAAGAUGCCCCUCGAAACGGCUACAAUAUCUCACCCGAAAACACCCAAUAACACAAAAACAUCCAACAAUACAUGAAGACAAUUGAAAGCGCCUGAAAAUAACAGUCGAUGGAGAUGAGCAGAAAACACAAGUACUUGGAGAAGAACCGAGUAUGGAGAAGAGAGGAAAAUAGACGAAAAUAUCGGGAAACUCGGUAAAAAAGGGAGAAAACAGAAACUAAACUGAAGAUUAAUGGUGAGAGGGGUCUCUAUCUCCUUCUUUAGUGCUUUCUUUCGCCCAUUUCUUCAUUGUCUCGCAUUUGGCUCUUAGGUUUCUUCCGAAGAUAGGAUUUCCUUUUUUUUUUCUGGAGUAGACUCUGGUUUUUAGGUUGGUUUUGAGUGUAUUACGGGGUUGUUUGAGGUGGGUUUUGGAAGAUUAUGAGAUUGUGAGCGAAGAUUGAGAGAGGGUUGUGAUUGUGGAGUCGGGCUGGUGAUGAAUUUGGCACUAGACACUCCUUGAAUGAAGAGAGGCAAAGAGAGGAAACUCGACCCGACUGUCGAGGAUGAGUGGAGAUCAGAGCACGGGGACACAGCCGACUAUGGAGGAGAAGACGGUUGCCUAUGGAGGAGUGUGGAGAUGAGAGCACGAGACACAGCCAACCAUGGAGGAGAAGACGCUCAACUAUGGAAGAGAAAAGAGGGGAAAAAUGGGAAAAUGGGGGCUAAGAGGGGGAGAGAACAUGUAGAACAGGAAGGAAGAGAGAGAACAAACGGGAAAAUAGGCUGAGAGGGGGAGACAACAAGUAGAACAGGAGGGAAGAGAGGGAACAAACAAGAAAAUGGGCUGAGAGGGGGAGACAACAGGUAGCCAGUUUUUUUUUUUUUUUUUCAUUUUUUCUUUUUCUUUUGAAUGGCUGAGAUUUAAUAUCUUUCAUCCAAUGGCUACAAAAAAUCUGAGGCAAGUACCUCCCUCGACACCAUAGAAUUUUUCUAUAUAUAUAUAUAUAUAUAUAUAUAUAUAUAUAUAUAUAUAUAUAUAUAUAUAUAUAUACAUUUUCAAAAUUUCCUAAGGCACAUUUUUCAAGCUUAAGAUUCACAGGGCAAUAAUAUUGUAAUCUUGAUGUAAAAUGCAAGUGAGAUGGAAGGAGUAAUUAAUUUGUUUUAUUAUUCACCAUUUUUACAUGUUAAUAUAUAUAUAUAAUUCACCAAACACGUGUUUGAUCAUGUUUUCUAUGCUUGUUUUUAAAAACUAUUUUUAGUAUUUUAUAAAAAUAAAGGUAUUUAACAAAUUAUUUUUAAAACCAGUUUUUAAAAAUAAAAAAUAAAAACUAAAAAUCUUGUUUAAAUAAAUUAUUAAAUUUUUUUUUAAAAAAAAACAUUGUAAAUUCAAUAUAAUAUGAAUUCAACAAAAAAAACUUGUAACUUUUUUUAGGUUUCGAAAAUUUUGAGGGAAAUAAAAUAAAAAGAAAAAAAUACAAGAAAAUAAAAAAAAACUUUGCGGAAGUAAAUUUUCUCUUCCUUUUAAUUAAAAAAUUAUUAAGAAAUCAAAAUCUUAGCUGGAUCAUUGAGUCAGCGUGGGACUUCAAAACUAGCACAUGUGCAUGCCAUUAUUUAUUUAUUUUUGUACUUUCAAAGCAUAUUAUUUUUAUUUUCAAUAUUUUAAGAUGACGCAUUUUUCAAGCUUAAGAUUCUCUUUAUAAUUGUUGUUGGUUGUAUCAAGAUUAAUUUAAAUUUUAGAUAAAACUUAACACAACUUACAUUCAAUUUAUUAAAUUUGAGUUAAUAAUAUUAGACAAUAGAAUUAGCAUGUGAUCUUUUUUAUUUUAUAAUUAUGGCCGGCUUGAUUCUUAUAAAUAUAAAUAUGAAGAUUAAAUUAAAAAAUUAGAUUAAACUCGAUUUAAUAAAACUAGCUUAACUUUUUUGUUUCUUAUAAUUAUGGUCCGCAAGCUUAUUGUCGAUUUGGGAUGACAAUGGAUGAGUUUUUUUUUUUUCCUAUACUUGUGUUUAACAAGAUAGAUUUGAAAUUUAAAUAAACGAAUUAGAAGUAUGUGGACCCCGUAUUUCAGCUCAUGCGUUUCCACUCGAUGGCGAGCUCGAUUUUUUUAUUUAAAAAAUGAUUUUUAUUUAUUAGAAAAUGACUUGGAGUCACCACUUAUUUUGUUUUAUUUUUUAAAAGGGUAAAUAAAAUAAGAAAGAAAACUCUAAAUGUGACUCAUUGUUUUGGAAAAUGUGGUGUGUGAAAAACCAGAUCGGCCUCGGGGAUCAGGUUAAUUAUCGAGAAGGUACAGUAAAGACUAUAACACCCCUCUAAGUCCCUAAAGUUGAGUAUUUACUAAUAAAAUGAAGCUGAUGUGACAAUCAAUAAGUAAAUCAAUGGAUACUCAAAUCGAUCAUGCACAUAUGGAAAUCAGAACAUGCAUAGAGAAUGAUCAGAGUGAGAGUUGGUGCGUACCUGGGCAACGAGCCACCAUACGCUAUCAAGAAGUAAAGUUAGUAUACAAAUAAUGGACAUAAAACAUAACUCACAUGUCGCUAAAUUAAGUACGAAGUCAUCACAUGUCACAAUUCAAUCAAAUGGGUUUUCAAAGGAAACAUCCAAUAAUGUUGGGCCCCACCAAAACCCAUUUAUUUUGCAUGAACCAAUUCCAAUAACUCCAUUAUUCGGAAUUACAGGAUUAAAUUUAUGCUUAUUUUAAAACAUUUUAAAAAAACGAGGAAAAUGUAAAAAUGGCUUGUCGAAAAGAACAUAACAACCAAUAUUUUUAUUGAAAGAGAUGGAUUUUUGGGAUUUAAAAAUUCUAAAGAUGAAAAAUUGGAAGAUUCGAAAUUAUUUGAAAACUAGAAUUUGGAAAAUCAUUCACAAAAUAUUUUUAAAAAAAUGAGAGGAUGAAAAAGUAGAUGAUGACACAUGACCCAAAAGUUGCAUACCAAAUGUGGUCAUGCAACCGGAAGCAUGCAGGGGCGGGCCUUGAGUAGAAAGUCAACCUGAAGCACAACUGAAUUGAUGAGAUCUGCAUAACUCACUGUCAGAAUUAAUGACAUGCACCUCGCGGGUGCAGUUGCAAAAGUUUGAUCGCAUGUGCUGUAUGAUGCAGAUUCAUAUCCCCCAUAUUCCUGCUUUGCAUUUUCUCUAACACAUUUCUUCAGAAACACAUCCAUUUGACUCUCAAACCCAUAAGAUAUAUCUGCCAGCAUAGGAGGAUUAGGAAUUGAUGCAGAAGCAUGAUGCAUCACACCAAAAUCAAUAAAUGGGUGACCAAAGUGUUCAGAGUUGUAGCAACAGUCACAAUCCAAGCAAAAAUCUCCAAGCGGGACAAAACCAUAUUUCACUACCUUUAACAGUGAUUUUCAAUGGAUGAUCAAGAUCAUGUAACUCCAUAAAAAGAAAAUUAGCAGGGAACCACUGAUCUAGAGAAUGGUUGCCUUUAUGACUACUAGAAAAAUUAAAUCCAUCUUCAUUCAUCUCUGCCAGCUUGCCCAGAUCCCCUAAGUCCCUAAAAAAAAAUCAUUUCCUUCCACAUUAGGUAAUGUAUCAUCCACAUUUUGAGCAUGGCUGGGUUUAUCCACCUCAUUUUCAUCAUUCUCAAUGGAAACAAGGAUGUUAUAUUCUUCAAACAUGUCAAGCAUUUGAUAGAAGCUCAUUAUCAUCUGGAAGCUCAUAAAUAUCACCAUCUAGAACUGAUGGAAGCGCCAUGUCAGUAGAUGGAAGACUUCGAGAUGGACCUGAGUUAGAUGGAAACCCAAUAGGUGCGUCCUCAGGGCCAACCGUGUCUCUUAAAAUGGAAUUGCUUUGGCUGUCAUUAAGAAUUUCAUGUGAUGAUUCAGCAAGGUGACAUGCCUGGAAACUAAUUGAAGUAACGGCGGCAACAGGUCUUUCCUUCUCAACAGUCUCAGUUUUCAGCUGACUAUGGAGAUACCGAACUGAUCAACAUAAAACCAACAAGAAAUGCUCUACUCCCUGAAUAUUUCCUGACGUAACCUCCUUCAGAAUACCAUCGGGCAAAGCAAGAUUCGCAUACUAGGUAUCUGAAACUUGUAAGCUUUCCCCUGGACCAAACCCCUUAACGUGCCAGUCGUAUUCCACUCUCAAUCCAUUUGCAUCAGUGGCCUUGAACUUGUGCAGCGUACACUCCGGCGACAAAGAAGUUUCCGACGCAGCUUCCUCGUAGUUUUCAAAAGACCGACGCGUCAGCAUGCGAGGGUUUUCAUCAACGGCGAAUGCCCAGACCCGACUGGCAAUGAGCUUAUGGUAUCGGACGUCGACAGAAUCAUGAUUAUCAAUGAGAACAGUCGCCAGAUUGACGCACAGAAUCUUGCAGGGGAAAAGAUCAAAAGUGAAAAUUCUUGCGAUGGAUGGGAGUAAGAAAGAACAUCAUUCCUUAGUGGGGACCUCUGGAAUCUCUAACCCUUGCCAUAAUUUAUCUGUCUGUAUAAAAUUCCGACGGUGCUGGUAUCGAAUCUUGUCUGUCAGCAUUUAGAAAUGGCUCAUAGUGGCAGGCUCUGGCUCUGCAUCUGAACAAUCACAAGUGCCGAAAAUGAAAAACCCAGCCAAGAUUAAUAAUAGUGCUACUGCUAUUAGCGCUGGCUGAUGGCGUCGAUGGAGACGAGAACAAGGCCUAAGGAAUAGUGGGAAAAUUUGCACUGACACUGACGUAUUCAUGUUUGCCAUUCUUCAAAGCGGUGGAAAAGAAUGCACCGAUCUGCUCAUGUACGUCUUCCAAGCCAUUCACCACAUAGGAAUAUCCACGUCGACACCUUGGCUUUUUCUGGAUUACUAUUGGGACUAGUCUUGAGGGGGCCAGAGGCACCAGAUCAGUAAUAUCCUUCAAUGUUGAAUGCACACGUGAAAGAACUUGGUCUUCCCUUGCAAGACCACGUGGCUGCUUCAGUAAAUCCCCGUUGACAGUAGCUUCUCAUUGUCCUGUCCGAACGCUCGUGUUCACCAUUGAAAUCAGUGCAAAUGGGUCAUCAACUGACUGGUACCGUACUAAUAAGGCUUACAUCAAUCUCGGGAGUGUAGCUGUUGCUCACCACAUGGAAACACCCAUCUCCGCACCUGGGCAUUCUCUGACCUAACCAUCUCCAAAACGGUUGAACAUUUGUCAUUUGCAUUACGCUGGUGCACCUGAUUUUGAAAAAUAUUCCCAGAACUGUCACGGAUUAUACAUCUUUUCGAAUGAAGGUAUUUGGGCUGCCUCUAACUGAUAGAUAUUGGACUCACAAUGUCUCUUGCAGCAAUUGCUAUCUCACAUGUGCCAAUUUCUUUAAUUUGUACCCAUUUAUGGGCAUCUCCAUGAAAGGGUCUUUACUGACUUUAAGUAGCUCUUUCAAAGGCCAACCUAUGGAUUACUUGGGUGCAAUUGUGAGCUCCAUCUGGUAUUGCUUGGAUCUUACCGGCAAUGCAAGGACUGAAUCAUUACGAGCAGCAAGUUCUUCCAUUAAAAGCCCUUUUUGCCUUAUUUAUAACCAGUUUCCGCAACUUAGGAACCUCAUCCAGAAAUCUAGUCUUGAUCCAACAAAUCUCGACGUUCAAAGCAAGCACAGAUGCUCAAUUUUUCCCGUUGAAUGCAGUCUUCGUUUUCUAAAGAACGACUUCGAUGCCGGCUUCAAUGAUGGCGCCCGGAUGAACGAAAACGUCAUCACCGGGACAUUGGGACUCUUCUGCUUAUCGAUGCCACACUUGUAGCAGUUCAUGCACAAUAGCUUCAGAUCUGUCUAAGAGAUUACAGCCUGCAUGCAAGGUGUUUCCUCCAGCAAAUGCCGAAAUCCUGUGGUGGCGUUCCUGUAAAUGCUGAAUAGGAAGAGUGAGCAUCGCUUUUAUUCCAAGAAUCUGUGCGAAUACGCUGAGACGAGCCAACUCAACCCAGUUCGACACAAAGAAAGGAUGAUUUGUUUUAAACCCAAAACUCAUCUCUCUAUCAACCAACAACUGCGCAUGAAGGGCAUGUGGUGUAGAGAGAGAAAUGUGGUGAUAUGCAUGGGGGCAUAGAAGGUGACCAUGGGUGUACGACUCUCAGAAGCAUGAGUAAGGAAUGGGUAUGGGCAGCAUGAAGGAUGGGUAUGGGUAGUAUGAAAGAUAGGUAUGGGGGGUGAGUAUGUUUGGUAGACUUGAAGAAAAAUGGGUAUGAAGAGCAUAUGGUAUAGAGAGAUGAAUGAGUGGGGAAUGGGUGGUGAGCGAGUUAGUGAGAAGAAUGGGUAUGAAUGUGAACGGGGUGGAUGGAAAUAUAUCAAUGAGAGAGAACGGGUAUCUGGGCAUGCUGAAGUAUGGGGAUGAAGGUGGCCAUGCGCAAUAGUCUCUACGUACGUGGAUAGGAAGUGAGCAAUGGGUGUGGGAAUGAAGCGGGUUGUUGCAGUGGAUGUGAAGGAUGAGGAACGAGUAUGAGGGAUGAGUUUGGAGGAUAGGUAGAGUGGAUUUGAAAUAUGAAUGGUGAACGGAGAUGUAGAGAAGGGAAUUUAAUAGAUGGGUGGAUAAUGAAACAAACUUCCCGGCUGCGUCUUCAUACCCUGAAUUCAGGUUAGCAUCGUCAUAGCCACCUCGCAUGUGCAUACGCAUGUGGCGGCCUUCUUUGUCAACAACCCCACGAACAUGGUGCUGCCUCCACACUCAGCGAGUGAGUGAUCAAUCAGGCGCAGUAGGGCAGGGGGUAUAAGCUGUUUCAAAGCCCCAAGAACCAUAUCCCACGACACUAUUCCAUCUGAGUCUGAAUGCAUUGAUUAAACUGGGCCAUCCACGGACACAGCCUGUGACAUGAAGUUUAGUGGCAGUGAUAGCUUGAUAGUGAGGGCAUGCUUCCUAGAUGGGUCCAUGACUUCUUCAUUGGGUCGUGAACCUCAUACCCACCAUCGCGGCCCACCCACAGGGCCUUGUAUCCAUUACCAUCAAUUUCAACAAAUGGAAUUUCAAACUCAAGUGAGUCCACUGAAGGUAAACAAACGCUUUGCCACCUGAUAUUUAAGAUACUACCAUGUGUCAACUGCAAAUAGAUUGCUGCUUCCCCUUAGUGCUGAGGGGACUCUACUAAACCCAAACGUCCUGAGUUGUUGACAAUCUUUUGUGAGACUCCUUUCAUCCUAAAAAAAAAAUAACCUCUAUCUUCGUGCACAGAAGAACUCCUUCUUUCAAAGUCCUAGUCAUGAUUUUUUUCCAGUAGAAGUAGGUAUCAGGACAUCCAACGUCCUUUUUGACCUGUAUGAGAUACUCCUUGGAAUACCGGUCUGAAAAGAGUAAUUGAGCACGGGCUUAGCUCCAGCUACUAUAAAUCUUCUAAUCUCUUUAGGAAUGCAUCAGAGGAAAUGUUCCUAUGGAGCACUAAAGAUCUUAGGUGGUUCAGUUCCCAAACCCAACUGCUCCCCAAGAAGAAAUCAGUCUUUCAAAUUUAAUGGGAUAAGAUUGCAGGAAGGGGAAUCUGAUCCAAGAGCAUUUAAAUAAGAUCCAGGAGGUGUAUAUGCAUUGGCCUGAGCAUUCGGUGACUCUUUUCUGUAUCAUAACCACUAAGAGAGGAGCCGUCUCUUUCACGCAAACUAGAUUUCCAUUUUCAGCUUUUCAAAUUUCGUUCAACUUUAAAGAGACCCGGUAUUUAGAUCCACAAAGCAACAGUGAAAACAACCACCAUUUCUAGCUCAAUUUUUGUUUUUGUUAGGUAUAGGCAACCUCCAUUCUUAUCAGUAUUCCCAUCGCUGGUGGACAGCAAUUCCGAUUAACAUUAAAAUGCAGAAGCAGUUUGAAGAUAGAAAAUGAAUGUAAAUAUAUAAUAUUACACAACAUUAAACUCCCUUUUGCCCUGGGUCUCCCCUGAAAAUAUUAAAACGAAAAAACUACAUUUUUUGCAAUAGUAGGGACUUGAACCCAAACCAAUUAUUAUCCAUUUUAACAAUGACAAUUCUGAAUCAUUAGGUUAAAACCCACAUUUGUUUCACGGAUUAUCUCCUUGAACUAAAUUGCUAAAAGGUUGGUUUUUGUUUUUUGAUUAAAUUAAAAAAAUCAAAAUAUAUUCAAUUUAAUUAUAUUGAUUGAUAUAAAUAAAUACCCAAAAGUGAAACAUAUAUAGUAAAAGUUUUUCCAUUGAACUACUGUGAUACAAGGUUUGCAAAAAAUAGGCAAGUAGCAAUAGAAAUUAUUAUAAAAUCAUUGGUUUAUAAAAAUAUUAAAAUAAAAGUAUUUUAGUCAUAUCUUAAAUGAAUAGUAGUCAGUCCUUUAUAUGAAAUAAAAUAUAUUUCUCUUUUUAUAUGAAAUUGGUGGGGAUAUAACCAUCAAACAUCAAACCAAAAAGAGAAACCAGCCAUUUACAAGAGAAAAUAUCAAGAAUAUUAGAGAGAACAAAAUAGAGCAUGUAUAUGCAGGCAAUCGUGUUCAACUAAAACAACCUUGUGGCCCUAGAUGUCCACAGCAAAUCACAAAAUAAUAUUCAUGGAUGAUGUUGGACAUUAAGGGAUGGAAACGUAUCAAGCUCAAGAUAGCCUUGCUUGGAAGUUCACAGCGCGACCUUCCUUUCCUCAGCUAUCUUCUUCCUCCAUCCUUUCCUUUUCUCAAGCUAUCUCUCCUAAAGAAAAUGCUAUGUCACUUCCUCUCUCCUCCUAGGCUGCUCAUUCUGGUUCUUCUCUAAAAAUGAAUACGCUUCUCCCUUCCCUACCUCUGGCUUCCUCCCUAAACUCAAAGAACGCACCUCAAAAAUCUCUCCCCUCUCUGUUUCUCUCCUAUCUCUGUUUUCCUCCUCCGCGGCAACGAAAACACCCACCUCUCAAAAAAGUAUCACUCUCCUGUCUUUCCUCUCUCUCAUACGCUCCUCCUCUCCGACCUCUGGCUUUCUCCCCAAGCAAAAGAAUUCCCCCUCUGAAGCUAAAGGAAUUCCUCUUCUCUCGUCCGACUUGCCCCCCAAGAAAGAAUACCCUCAAAAUAUCUCUAAAAAACCCCCUCUCCAAACGCACCACCCUACAACAACCAAAACACCACCUUGCCUCUACCAGAAUCUGCCUUCUCUCUCUCCUACGCUCCUUCAUAACGACUUCGACUUUUUCCAGAAUCUUCUUGACACUAACGUAAUUCCAUGAUAGGCGACCACGAGGUAGCACUUGCUCUCAAAGAGCCCUCCAUCUGGCAAGUGAGCUGCAGAAAAUGGGAGAAAAAUGAGCCCCAAACGGGGUCUACAAAGUGGGUUUGAGAUUUUUUUUUUUUUUUAAAAAACCUAAGAUGAGUUUAGAACGGGUAUUACUUAGUCCCGCCCACCCCACCUUGAUUACAUAUAAAAUUAAUUUAAAAUGUUAAUUUAAUUUAAUUUUUAUUUUCCUAUUUUUAAUAAAAUAAGUUAUAAAAAAUUAUAAUAUUUUAAUUAUUUAUAAAAUAUAUUUAUUUUGAUAUAAUUAAAAAUAUGUAUUUUAAUUUAUUUUAUUUUUUAAAAAAAAAAAAGUUAAACAUGUUGCCUAUGGGAAAUUCGCAUACUAGUCCACCUUACCCCGUCCCGUCUAAUUUUUUUAAUAAGACGGGUAUGAGAAUUAUUUUGAAUAAACGGGAUAUGAUUGAGAUGAGUGCAAUCCAUCCCCAACAUGUAUAGCUUGCCAAUCUCCAACGUCAAGAUGUAUUUAAUAAAAGAUUAAGUAAGGAACCUAUUUGCAACUUAUUAAAUUUGAUUAAUUUAAAAGGUUAGUGAAGCAAAUCCAUUUGCAAAAAUUAAAAAUGCAUAGAUUUUUAACUAAUUUUAAAUAUAUUUGAUUUUUUAUUUAUUUAUAUUUUCCAUAUUAUAACCCAAUAUGAAAAAAAUCACUUUCCUUAUUAUUUUUUUCUUUAUUACUUUUUGGAACAAAUAUAACCUAAGACUAUGUCUGGUUUCCUUAAAAUUUAAGAGAAAAUAUGUUAAGGAAAGAAAAAACAAAAAAAAUAAAAAAAUGAAAUUCAAAAUCAAUAAUUAUUUUAUAUGUUUCUUCAAAUUCAUUUAACUUAUUUUUCCCCAUUAUAUAAAUAUUAAAUGAUUUUAAAAUACAUAAAUUUCUAACUAAUUUAAGUAAUAUUUGAUUUUCUUUCAUAUUUUCUAUAUUAAAAUUAAAUAGAAGAAAACAAUUUUUUUAACAUUUUUUUCUUUCCUUAGCAUUUUCCUAAAGCCAAACAUAACAUAAAUGUUUUGAAUUGAAAACUAAUGUCAUUGUAUAACUUUAUUGAUUGGUUGGAUCCUUCCUAAGGGAGGGAGUUGUUUUUUGUUUUCCCUUCCAUUUUUUGGCCAUCUUUCGAUAGCCAUUGUAUAUAUCUUGUGUGCUUUUUCUAUAUUGUUGAUAUUGGAGGAUAGAUUUUAAUAAUAUAUAUAUAUAUAUAUAUUCUUAACUUCUUGUUUUUAUUUUUAAUGUGAAAGCACUUUUAGAUUUAGCAUGCCCAUAUUAUUAGUUGUAAGACAAAUGAUAGAAUUGAAAAGAAUGAUUUGGGCUUUGUUCUCAGAAGAAACAACGUUAGUAUUAUAAGUAGAGAAAAGGCUACAAAUUAUAGAUGGGAGAUCCUCCCAAUUAGAAGAUGUUAUGAGAGGAAGGUAGAAGAAAGAAUGACAAUAACAAAAAAUAGACACCAACCCAAGGCCCACAGCACAAAUAUCCAAGUCCACCACUGAAACACAAAACAAGCAAGGGUGAAGGUGAAGACAAGAUGAAAGGCAUUUGGCUUCGAGGGGAGAUAUGAUCUAUUGGCGAACCUAUCAGCUUCCUGAUUGGUUGCUCUAGACUUUCAACAGAAGGAGCAUCUCAUGUCUCUAGACAGCUUCUCUAUCCUUUUCAACCAAUGGUUAUGUCUCCAUAAACAACCCUUCUUUUAUUUGUGGCAGGUCGAUUUUACAUCUCAAACUUGCAUGGCAUAUUGCUGUUGAAUUGAAACCCACAAAUUUGAUUUUGGCAUUAUGGUCAUCCCCCUCUUAUGUGCUCACAAUUUUUUUGUAACUUAUUUCAUUUUCUGCCAGGUUUAGCCCUGAAGCUCUAAAUGGGCUAUUCAUCAAGGGAUUGGUUGGCUGGUUUUUGCAAGUCUCACUGCUGAAAGUAUCAUUGCUUUCAUUGGGUAUUGGGGAGGCACCCUUUCUGGACAUUGUGGCAUAGCAGGGUACACUUUCACAGGGAUGUGCUUGGCUGUCCUUGAGAGGGAUCAUGUGGAGUAUCUCAUAUUAUUUCUUGAUGCCCUGGGCAUGCCUAUGCAUGGGAAUAUUCUUGGUAAAAACAAUAAAGAGAGUCCUCUUUGCAGAGGUGAGGAGUUAUGUUUCCAGCAAGCAUCACUAUCUCUUGCUCCUUAUUGCUUUGGCUCAGUUCCCACUUUUCAUAUGGCUUGGCAACAUUAGCCUUCAUUGGCUUUUCUGAACUUCAUCUUUGAUAACUGUAUCCGGAAACAAUUUGCUUCUGUGGAAGUCUUAAAAUGUUGUAGUUUUGGUCUAUGAUGUCGGCCAAGUGACCAUUCUCCAAGACUAGAAAUAUUCUUUAAACUUAUGCUAAAGCUUAAAUAUGAUUCAAUUGUUCUCCUAGUUAAAACAGAAACCAAGCACUUGGCUUCCUUGUUCAGAAUUAUUUAUCCUUUUUUUCCCAAUUGAUUGGAAAUGAACUAGUUUAGCACUUGUAAUUUGACAUGUUCAUUUAAAGCAACUGUAGUUAAUAAAACAAUUGAGCAUGAACUGGAGUUGCCGAUGGAAUCCUGAAAGUGGAUGACAUAAAUUACUUGGUGCCUUCUUCUGGUACAUGAUACUCCUGAACUGAAUGUCAGCAUGGUAUUCAUGAAUCAAGUUUCAAAACAAUUGAGCUCAUAUAGAUCUUGCAUAACUGGAAAUCAAAGUGAAUCUCAUGUUGUUUUUGAUGGGUUUACAAUAAAAUCAAUGACAUCACUAUGGCCUUUGUCAAUGAUUGGGUUUUAAACUCUGGUUCAAAACAUCCACUGCAGUGGGAUAAUGGCCUUAACAUCCAGUGAUGACUUCAUUUUAGACUCCGGUUCAAAACAUCCACUGCCAUGAGAUAAUGGCCAUAACAUCUGAUGGACCUCGUUUUCCCAGACACACGGAGAUGGAUUAGGUAGGGGUGACUCUGAAUCACUUGCACUGAGUCUACUUCGUACGAAGUCUCUGAGGUCAGUUGAAGGUUGUCUGGUGAUCAGCUAGAUAAUUCCAAAUACUUGACGCGAGGCUAGAUGCUUGAGGGUAAAUCAAGAGGCACAGCAGUUGUAAAUCGUCUCCCCAUAUGGCAAAACCUAUUCUGUCACAAUGAUAAAAAGGUGUUUAAUUAUGGCAGGUAAUGGAGCUUCAGGCAAUAGGAUGUGAGGCAGUGAGAGGUCAAGAUAGAGCAACAUACAUUUCUUGCCCAUGGAAUGAUGCCCAUCCAAUAUAUACAGACUGCAAUUUUUACCAACAUUGAAGAAAGUUAGCCUCUCAUUAAGGCACUAAGAUCACAUUUAGAAAUCUCAAAGAAUUCUGAGAAUGUGUCAAUGCCUUGCAUCAUUCCAUUUAGAAAUCUGAGUCCCAGAAAGGUGUUAAUGCCGAUGUUCCAAAAUUUUGAAACCGUGUUGCAAUCUAUUCUCCUGCCACAGUAACAAGAUUUCUUUACAAUGAACAGUCGUGAUAAUUUCACAUCUGCUAAUGCUAGCAUAAGCCACAUUGAGAAAACAAUUGAUCCUUGGAUUAUUACCAAUCUCUAAGGAAUUGAAAAAGGCCAGAUGGUCAAGCUCCAAAGUUUUUGACGACAUUCCCGGUUCACCAAUCAACGAUAGUAUCAUACGUGAAACAGAAGACACAAAGUCUGAAACAUUCAAAAUCAAAAGCAUCUGUUUUGAUUAUUUAGCAAGAAAAAUAACAUAAUGGAUCUUAUUUGUAUGUAUAUCAAGUUUAACAACACGCCAUUGCAUGACUCCUUAAUUGGCUUCCAAUAUUCAGAUAAUUCAAAGGCACCAUUAUGUUUAAUUCCGAUAUAAAAGACUGUCAAAGAAGGGGGAUAUAAAUUUGUACGAGAGUUAACAAACCUCUGGUUUUUUGUCAGCAAAAUCUCAUUAACUGGAUUCCUGAAAAACGUAGUAAAAAUAAGUAAACGCUCAUUAGAGUUAAAUUCCAAAUCCAAAGUCAAUAGAAGGUUGUUUAUUGUAGAACUAAACACAAUUACUAAACCUUAUAAUGCAAGAACACAAAAUUGUCCAGAAACACAUUUUCCAUCUUAUCAGAUUCAAUUUAUGGCCUUCCUGCAUAACUGCAUUUUAUAUUUGAAAGGUAAAUCAGACAUUUUUUAUGUGAGUAAUAAGAGAGUAAAUGGCAUAAAAGGCAAACCAUACAAAUGAAGAAGUUGUAAACAUAUAAGAGUGCUUACUGAUCACUGUUGAAUGAUAUUUAAUCGUCUCUCUUUCAAUCUGCAAGAGUUUAUACUCAGUGAAUCAUAGUAUGCUACCAAGAAUAAUGCCUCAUUUCCUCGUUGUUGGAAAAAAAUGUAGUGAAAAACAUGUAAGUUGCCAAUAGAAAUAUACUAGUUUAAAAAUAAAGCAUUUCAAGUUACAUAAGGUUUGUACAAGUUGUAACUGACCUGAAAAAAAUCUGUAUGUUUGAUAAAGCUCAUUUUAAUGAAUCCUAACAAUGGUUUAAAAGACAUCCAAAAGGAGGAAAGCUGGAUCAGCAUUGCGCAUCCACCUAAAAGGAGUAACAUGAAAUGCAUCAAUAUAAAAUGAGAUGAAAAGAAAAUAGUAGUGCUCAUAAAAAUCCUUUCUGCAAAAUAAUGCAUAAAGACGACCAAUUCAUCAAUGUAAAACAAAUACAAACUGUUCUUUAUAUAGGUCAUAGUUCCAUCAGAGAGCAAUUUCAAACAAUCACAACAACUGAGCACAAGACUUUAUAACAUGGAUGACAAACCAGUCCUCAGAAGGAACCUAAAGAAAUGUGUGAUUCUCGACUCUCCAAGAGAUGUAUGACUAUUCAGUCUUACUGGCAGCUUCUCCAAGAUAGCACAAAAAAUAGCUUCAUGUCUACUGAAGACAGGUGAACUAAGCAGUGUCCAAGGAUUGGUGCUUAGGGAACACCUCAAGUCAUAAACAUAGAAAAUUUAGAAAAAAAGUUAGCAAAUAUAGGAAUCUAAAAAAACCAAUAAAAAUGUAAAAUAAAAAUUGUAACUUACCAUGAUCUUGCUAAGCUGUUGUUUAUCCUCUUUCUACACUCUUAACAUCAACAAUAGAAACAAAAACAAGUAGCAAUAGGAAUUUGCCACAGUCACUAUAGACAUGGAGCCUCCAAAUAUAAAACCCGAAUCCCCUUCGACAAGAAGAAAAAUACUUAUACUCUGACACCUGGGACAUGCACCUUUUAAACCUGCAAACUCCAAAAGAAGAGAUAUGGUUUCAUCAAAUCAAAAAUUUGAGAAACUAAAGCAAAACCAUUUUGUUUCUGCUCAAAUUUGUACAACUAGGCAUAUGUAAAUGUGACAGUAGCUCACAUUUUGGAAACCAAGUGGGAUAUAUUAGAAUAGAUACAAGCUGCUGUUGUUGCUAUGUAAUAAUUCCAUUAGGUAGUUCUGGGCUAUCGCAGUCACAGAGAAAAUACCACUUGGGAUAAAUUGAAAACCAGUUCUUGUGAAAGACAAGUUUCAUGCACUGAAUGGUUCCCAACUUUCAAAGGAAAUAAAAGAUCAUACAACCUUAUGAGCGGCUUCCCCAGGAGGGCAAGAAGAGGUUCUUAUUUAUUAAAGAUGCAAAUGAAAUCUUGAUUCAGAGGACCUCUGUAAAGCACUGAAGAAUCUAUCACAAGUCAUAAAAGGAAGAAAAUUUUACAAAAAUAGUCCUUAGAACACAAUAAUAUAUAGAAUCAACUAUAUAAAUGAAAGUCACGCACCACAAUUUUGCUAGAUUGUAUUUUAUCCUCUUUUAGUCGUACUAAAAAAUGGUAAUAAAGUGCCAAUGAGCCUUUGAUAUAGGAUGAACAUUCCAAUCAGUUAGCACAAUGAAAAGACCACAUGACCUCCUGUGAUACUUUGCACCCAUCCUUUUGACACCUGCAUCAUCAAUGUAAACAAUUUGGUACAUAAAACUGUAAGACUUAUUAUUACCGUUCAGAGGUAGCCGAGUUAAAUGGCAACAAAUUGCAAAUAUAUGUAUGGGAAAUAGAAAGUGAUAUUGAGGAGAGAAAGAGGAAGAAUUGCAUGUUGGGAAUGAGCAUCCAGUGGACAAGAAGAAAAUUCAAGAAAAUUAGUCAUCAAAAUAGAAAAAUAAAUAAACAAAAUAUAUAGAUGACGGUGACUCACUGUAGUCUUGCUGGGUUAUUCUUUGUCCCCUGUUGACACUCAAAAAAAAUAAAAAAAAGAGCAACAGGGGACAACUGGAACUAGCUGCAUUCACUCCAUACUUUGAAGUCUUUGAUAUAAUACCUAGAGUUCCAUCCUCUUUGAGAACCUGCAUCAUAAAUGUAAAAAUUUAAUAACCAGAUGACAAGACACUGGAUAGUAGCUAUGAUGACAUCUAAUAAGUUGAACUAAAAAAAUCAUGGCUGCACAGGGGAAUUGAUAAAGCCAUCUAAUUACCAUAGCAAUCGAACUUUAAUAAACUGCAUUUGCUUCUAGUAUAGCCUCCUCUGUAUGUCAGCCUGAACUCUAUUCUGGAAAUCAGAAAAUUAUACUUAAAAAAUGCAAUUGAAUAGUACAACUGAUGGAAUAAAAAUCAGAAGACAUUGCUAACCAGUGGCUAUUGCUAAAUAUUCCACCUGCCCUUGAAUGGCAUAAAUGGAUCCUCUCUUAUCCUUUUUAUCGUUGUAAGUAUCACAUAUCACCUCUUCAACUUCAAUGGUCACUGAGAACUAAAAAGAACAAAGGAAAAAGGAAAAGUGUGUACCCCAUGGAGAUUAUGGACAAGAUUUACUAAAUAGAAUUGGAGAGGCAGAGGCAGUGAUGCAUACCUAGAAUUGUGUCAAAUUGAAGAGAAAACCAAGCUACAAGCCAUUUCAAAAGCCACUUCCUAGGCAAAUUUUUAACAAAAAGUCUAGUAAGAAACGUACAAGUAAUCAAUUGGGGAAAUUGCUAUAAUGUAUAUGAGAGAUUGAACGCGGUAUUGAGGAGUGAAAGAUAAAGAACAGGCGUACCUUGUUUAAUGUAAAGAUGGGAGAGGGUUGAAUGGUGUUUGCUUCUAUGUUCUGCAAUCCCUCAACUUAUUAUUGCUCAAAGACGUUUUUAUCAUCUAUUUCCACAUAGGGAAUGUGGGCGAUGUUGGGCCAAUCUUGCCCUUUCCCUUUCGAGCACCUUUGUUUUAGGAGCGGGCAGUCUGUGAUAUAUAGUCGUGAAAGCGUGUCAGGCAGCCCUUCCCUUGGGCAAAACGACUGAAGCUUAGGGCAACGUUGGAUCCAUAGAUCUUCAAGUGAGGUGAGGGUUUGGAGAGCCAGGGAGGAUAGAGAUUUCAGAUUCUGGAAAUCUUGAAUGGAAAGAAAGGUGAGGGUUGUAGGAAGAAUCGGUGGUCUUUGACCAUCUGAAAAGGAGGCAACUCGUGGAAAUAUGCCACCAAUGGUGAGUUCUUUAAGAGAGGUAAGUGUGGCAAGGCCCCAUCGGGAUAGGGGCAUCUUGAUAUUCUCACAACGGUAGAUACCAAGUGAUGUAAGAGCAGUGAGGUUUUGCAGUUGAUGAGGUAGCAGCUCCACAUUCUCACAAUUAUUAAUCUCCAGUUCUCUGAGUUUGUAGAGGCAAUCUGGUACAAUUUUGAGACAGGGAUACGACCGGAUACUCAAAUAUUCAAGUGAACUAUUAUUGGAGUGAAACGUCUCCUUUGAAAUCGACUCCAGUUGUGCACAAUCCCAAAUCUCAAGUUUCUUAAGGGUGGAGGGAAACUUGCCUGUGGGGAAGAAUGUGAGAGAUGGACAUUUCCAAAUGUCCAAGACAUGAAGACCACCACUGGUGGCGGUGGUGGUGUUGGAAUCAUGGUGCAUCAUUCCCCCCGGUAGAGACUCUAGCUUUUCACACCUCCAUAUCUUGAGUUCCUUGAGCGUGGUGGGUAACUCACCUUCUGGAAAACCAAUGAGAGAUGGACACGUAUGUAUGUGCAAGUAUUCAAGGAGACACACGUCGCUACCGUUAUUACUACCGUCUUUCAUCACCAUCAUCCAAUCAGGUAGACAUCGUAGACCUUCACAACUAUGAAUAACAAGACGUCUAAGCAUGGGCGGGAACCCCAACUCUGGAAAUGACACCAGCUUUGGACAAUCAUAGAUUUCCAACUCUCCAAGACAUGUUAGCCUGUACAGUCCAUUGGGAAGCUUCUCUAGGUUAUUACACCACCUAAUUUUCAAAGAUUGAAGCUUGCUAGGCAGCUCGUGCUUUUCCUUUUCUCCCAAGGAUACAAGCUCGGGACAACUGCUAGUUUGCAACUGCUGAAUACCAUCAAAUCCAUUUUCCCACAAACACGUCAAUUUAUCACAUCUAUCAAUGUCUAAAACUUGAAGCCCCGACAACAAUUGCAUACAACCUUCAUGUAAUCUGGUGAGCCCUACCAUUCUAUCAAUUCCUAACUCGGUGAGUGAAGGCAAUUCCAAUCCACUCCUUAGUACCGCCUCAUUGCAAUCUUGUACUCUUAAUUUAGAAAGAGAUGGAAGCCUUUCAAGUGGAGACACCAACUGUGGGCAUGUCCCAAUGGAGAAAUGUACAAGGGACGGUAGGUUAGUGGGUAGUUUCUUGAUUAAUUUGGGGCAAUUUAUGAUUUCAAGGUGAAGGAGACAAGGAUAUGGCUCUGAUAAAGAUGGACUCUCCCAAUCUUCCCAUUGUGACAUAGCCGAAAAAGAUAGAGACUCUAAGGACGGGAAAGGCUUAUUGGGAAGACAAGUCUCUCCAUAAAACUCUCUACCCACAAUUUUUACUUCUUUUAACCCUUCAAUCCUUACGUGUUUGAGCAUGGGUAACCACCCCAAACACGGUAAAGAUGUGCAAUUUCUGCAAUUCACCAGAUUUACAUCCACCAUCUUCGAGAAUGAAACAUCUCCUAUCCAAGGGGGAAAUUCUGGACCACCAUAAUACUCAAUUUUUAGUUUGUUCAAAUUGAAGUGUGGCUGUAAAGAGUCAAGUACAUCUUUUUGAUUCCUUGCAUUGUGUGAAUCAUUCAACCCAGCACUCCACUCUAUCGUCAAUUCUUCAAGCUUCUGCUUCUUGUUUAGACUAGCAUCCCUUGCAUCUUGAACAUUUGCUACAUUUUCCAACUUUGAAAUGCAAAGUCCCCCUUGAAGUUGGGGCAUAUUCCUUAACUCCUUUACAUUCAAACCAUUGUCUUUACCCACAAUAAAAUUAGACAAUACUUGUAAGCCUUUUAAUUUGCAAAUUCGUGGAGGCAUUUCUUCUAGAUUUGUAUUGGUCACAUCAAGGUGUCGAAGAUUAUUUAGGUUUCCAAUGCUCAAAGGCAACCUAAUAAGCUUCCGACAAUUUGAUAAUAUUAAUGUCUCUAAGUUAUGGAGGUUACCCAGUGAAUCAGGUAAUCGUUUGACUUUUGUUCUGGAUAAAUUAAGAUACCUAAGGUGUUUCAAAUCACCAACUGAACUUGGUAUCUCACUUAUCCGAUAACCACUCAAUAAAAGCACCCUUAGGCGUCGUAGCUUGGGCAUCAAUCCCUCAAGUACCUUGUUGCUUAACCAAUUAUAAUCCCAUAAUGGAUCAAUUGGUAAUGCAAUAAACGUACGCAAAUUCUCCAUCCCAUAAAAGGCUUCAAACUUUUUGAAGAUAUCGUAUCGGUCACGAAUGAAUGAUGAAUGACGAGCCUUUUUAGAAAUAGUCUGCUGCUGAUUACCUUCCAAAUUCUUUUCCAGAGAAAAACAUAUUUCUCCACCAACAAAUUUUGCUAAAUCGUUAACGAGAUCAUGCAUUACGAAUUGGGAUUUAUUGCUACUUGAUGGUUGAAAAAAUGAUCGAGACAACAAUUCCUGGAAGUAGUUAGCGCCUAAAUCUUCAAUUUCGAUUUGUUGCCUAUGACAUUCUAAGUGUUGAAUUAGACUCUCUGCCAUCCAUAAGCGAAUCAGUUCUCUCUUAUCAAAUUCAUAGUCUUUCGGAAAUAUUGCACAAUAACUGAAACAUCUCUUCAGUGGAGAGGGGAGGUGAUUAUAACUUAAUCUUAAUGCAGGAAGAAUACCGCAUUUAUCACUCGGUAAAUCCCAUAUUUUGCUAGUCAAAAUAACAUUCCACUCAUGUUCUCUCUGUUCAUGGCGUAGAAGACUACCGAGUGCUGUUGCUGCCAAAGGCAAGCCUCCACACUUUUUUACAAUUUCCUUGCCGAUCAAUGCCAAAUUGGAAUGCUCAUCAAUGUUGCUAUUUCCAAAUGCAUGUUUCUUGAACACCGACCAACACUCAUUAUCUGAUAAAUUUUGUAGCUCGUGCAAGUUCUUAUCUCCUUCCAUUAUAUUUGCGACCUUCUUACUCCGUGUCGUGACUAUGAUUUUGCUGCCUCGUGAACCCGACAAAAAGGGAGACUGUAAGCAACGCCAAUCAUUAUAGUUGUCAUUCCACAUAUCAUCGAGAACCAGAAGAAAUUUUUUUCCCUUCAAUUCCUCCCCCAAUUUAUCUUGAAUUUGAUGGAAGUCUAGUGAAUCAGUAUUGCUCUGAGAAGUACUGACCGAGUUGAGGAUUGUCUUGGUUAUUCUCACUGCAUCGAACUGAUCUGAUACACAAACCCAGGCCUUUAGAUCAAAAUGCUUGGCUGUCUCAGGAUGAUCGUACACCAACCUUGCUAGUGUGGUCUUGCCCAUACCACCCAUGGCCACGAUGGAAACUACAGAAACAUUGGUUUCAAUGGGCUCAUCCCUAAGCAGCAUAUCCAUUAUAAUCUGUUUAUCAGCAUCCCUGCCAUAAACCCAAGGUUCGUAUACCAGAGAUGUAGUGAGUGGCCUUUCCCAAGUAGACUGGGUUAUAGCAGCCACCUUGUCCAAACCAAGCCCAGCCUUUUGGGCAUAUAUAGCUUCUAAUCGGGUGGUAAUGUCCUUUAUCUCGCACCCCAUCUUAACAUUACGCAUACAACCAAUAGGAGUGAAAGUAGUACAACAAGUAGGGAUAAACUUGCGUACCUUGCUUGUGCUGCCUUCACCAUCAGCUUCCGCCAUCACCUUUCUUCUUAAAGCUUCGUAGGCAAACUCGUCCAAGAUGUCCUCCAUGUCAUAAACCAAAUCCCUCAGAUCGCCCAGCCACGUUUUCACCGACUGCUUCGUGAUCUGCUUCUCCUCCGCGUCAUUCAGCACUUCAUCAAUCUCCAAUAAUUUUUUCUCCCAUAUUUCGAGCUCGGCGCGGAUUUUCUCUUGGCGUGCAAACUUGAGAUCAGGGGAGCGCAGUUGGUUAAACAAAGCUUGAAGGGAGUAAGAAAGAACAACCUCUGCAACAACUUCCAUGGUUCGUUGGUAGGGAAAGAGAGAGGUAGGAUACCAAGUGGAAACAAGAGAAUAAAAAACAAUUGGUUUGCUCUAUCAAGGCUUCCCCAAUUAUCAAAGACAGUGGACUCUGCUCCUUCAGAGUGGUGGGGCUCACACGUAAAGAAGAAGAAACUAAGGGAAAAGAAGGAAUCCAAGGCAACUGGUGCUAAGUGGAGCCAUUGGAGAGAUAAUUAUUCAAGUCUUGGACCACUCUCCAAUUUCCCACUACACUGGUUUUAGGGGUGGGUGACAUACUCACAUGAAGUGACAGAAAGCAGGGCCCUCUAAUUCAAAGUUUAUUUUACUAUUAAAUAAAUAAAUAAAAAAGUCAUUUUCUUAAAACCCUUCUACAAUUUUCUGACAAAGCAAAUGACUUCUGUAAGCAGGAUACCAUUCUUGUGAAUGGGAAAAGGAAGAAGGUUGAAGGAAGAAGAGUAAACAAGUUUUCCCUUUAUUUUAUAUAGAUUGGUGAUUAGGCUGAAGUAGAGAUACCUUGCUACCUCGCUGCAUCUUCAAACGAUAAUGUUGAUUAAAGAUGAAUUGAAAGCCAUGCUUUGCCUGCGAAGUUUGAUUAGAGAGGAAUCUCUAAAUCAAAUUUUGUGAAACAAUUGGUUUGCUUGCUGUAUCAAGGCUUAGCCAAUUAUCAAAGACUGAAGGUAAGAGAUAAGGAGUUGAAGGCAACAGCUGGCAAGCUGGCAAGUGGAUCCAUUGGACAUGAUUUGAUUAUUCAAGUCUUGGACCACCCUGCAAUUUUCCACACCGCACUGGGUGGUGGGUCAGAGAGUUAAGGAUAACGUCAGAAAACCAAACAUGAAGCGACGGAAAGCAGGGCCCCUGUACGAAAAUAUUACUCUGCAACAAUCAAAAUAAUCAAAGAAUCAUGCAUUGAAAAAUUGCAAGCUAAUGUUGUUAAAUUUUAAAAAAUAUGAAUUCAGAAAUUAUUUGUAAAUAUUUAGAAAUUGCUAAUGUUGGCUUUAGUUCAAUUUCACAAAAAUAGAAUCAUGCAUUGAAAAAUUGAUUUGAAGUUGAAGUUUUACAAUUUCCUUAUUUAUUUUCUAGGAGUUCAUAUAGGAAUAAGUUACAAAUACAUGGGAGGAACUUACAAAGAUGUAAACAAGUAAUUAGGUUAAGGACUCCACUUCCAAGCAGGCCAUGUGCUUUUAAGGAUAGAAAAAAAAUUGUUUAACACAUUAAUAAGAACAAAUAAUUUAAUGUUUAAGAAUAUUAAAAUAUGAAUAAAAAUAAACAAUUUAAUCUUAGCCAGAUUGUGUUCUAUUUAAAAUUCAAUAAAAAUCUAUUUAAAUUUAAGAUAGAGAAACAAACUAGAUAUAAUUUUUUCACUUCUUAUAUUUUAAAAUAUUUUUUAAUUAAGCAUUCUUAAUAAUAUUUUUAUUUCUUAUAAAAAAAGUUAUAAUUAUUUCAUGGAUGAUUAUUAACUUUUUUUUUUAAGAGAAAGAUAUAUCGUUGAAAUAGUUUUUAAGAAAAGACAAUGAAAUAGAAUCUGAAAGUUGAAUUAUUGAAAAUAUUGUAACCUCUAAAGAUAAAAUGAAAAUACUAAAACAUUGAGUGAUGAAAUUUAGGUUAUUGAAUAAAAAUAUAAAUAAAUUAGAUCAAAAUAUAAAAAUACAAAUAAUCGAGACAUAUGUGAUGCGUGAGACAUGCUAAAUAAAAAAUUUUGCUCCCACAAUUUCUAUAAUAUUAAAAGAAAGUCAAUUUUUUAAUAAUCUCUUUCCAUCUUUUGGUACACGCAAUAGAAUAAAAUAUAACCAUAAUUCUAUACAUUUCUUUCACGGGAAAAAAAGAAGGAAAAAACUUGGGGUGCUGGCACAUUGGGUGUCCACAAGUGGACCUUGUAUUCAAUUAUUGGUAAGAGAUGGCCCGGAUAGGUGGCAAUUAUUGGGGCUCUUUUACUUAAUAGAAUAGAUUUAUAAAAUAAUUUUAAAAAUGACUUCAAAAAGUAUAUUGAAGUCUAUGAUAAUUGUUAAAUGUUGUCGAUUUGAUUUUACUUCUAAUAAGAAAUCUUUUUUAUUUUAGUAUGGAAACUUUUUAAAACAGUGAUUUACUUCCAUUGAUUUAAUGAUAUUAUUAAAUUAAAUUUAAAAAGAUUUGUUAAAAGUAAGUUUUUUUAUUAAGGUAGAGUUGGAUUCGAAGUUUUAAAAUUAAGUUAAAAUAUCUUAAUUAAUUUUUGACAAUUUUGAGGUUUUAUUUUAAAAAAAUUUCUUAAUUAAUUUAUAGAAAAUUAAUAUUUUACUUUUUAAACAAAAAUUAUUUUGUUAAUUAAUUUUUGAAAAUUUGAUUUUUUUUUUUUAAGAAAUUCAAUUUCAAACCAUCUAGGCUCUUAGGCCUAUAUAUAUUAUCUAAAUGUGUUUUUGGGUUGGAUGCUUUAAUAAAAUUAACCUCAACUUGCUCUAUCAUUCAUAAACUCUCAACAAAGAAUUCACUAAUCAAAUCCCAUAGUUUUUUAUUUCCAUAAUUAAUAUGAUGAUUUUCCACAUAAAAUUGAUUGUCUUGUAUGUAAUUGUGAUUUUAUUAUUUAUAUGGAUAUGUGAAAUUGACAAUAUUGCCCCUAGCCUCAAGCAUAGGGUGUUACAAACAUCCUUAUUUAUCGACUCUCAACAUGAUUAUACUUUUCAUAGUAACUUAGCAUGAAAAUCUUUCAAUUGUCAUAUUCUAACAUUAUCUAUAAGUUUCUUGAGUAUUGAAAUUGACAAUGCUUUUGUGAAUAAGUUUGUUAAAUUAUCAUUUGAUACUUUCUGAAUACUAAUUUUAUUACUCUUGUGGAGUUUAUGAAUAUAAAAGAACUUGAAUGAUAUAUGGUUACUUUAGUUUGAGUUUUCCUCUUUUUAUCAUUAUGGCCUAUAUGAUUCUUAUUGAUCUAAAAAUUAAAUUUAAAAAAUUAGGCAAGAGAUUAACCUACUUACAAUUUAUUAAGCCUGAGUCACUAAAAUUAGUCAAUUAAAUUAGUUUGUUAUCUUUUUCUUUUUAUAAUAAUAGUUGGCAAGGUUCUUAUCUAUAUCAAGAUUAACUUAACUAUUAGGUAAGGCUUAAGAGAACUUACUUGCAAUUAUUAAAUUUGAGUUAAUAAAAUUAAUCAAUAGAAUUAACUCGUCGUCUUUUUGUUUUUAUAAUUGUGGCCGACUUAGUUCUUAUCAAUAUGAAGAUUAAAUUAAAAGAUUAGGUAACGGCACCCACUUGCAAUUUAUUAAACUCGAUUAAGCAAAAGUAGCUUCACUUAUUUCUCUUUUUAUGAUUAUGGUCAGCAAGGUUCUCAUCAACAUCAAGAUUAAUUUAAAAGAUUAUGUAAGGGAACCUAUUUGCAACUUGUUAAAUUUGACUCAUUCAAAAGGUUAGUCAAGCAAAUACACUUGCAAUAAUUUACAAUCAAAAUCCACUUUAAAAUAAUAAAUAUAAGCUAUCUUUUUUUGGUUGCAUUGAACUUAUUGAUAAUUAGAUUUAAACAUAAUUAAUAUAAUUAUUUAAGUAUUAAUUAAGUUUUCAAAACUAAUUAAAAUUUAAACAUCACUAAUUAAAUGAAAUAGUAUAAAAUUUAAUUAAUUAUUAUAUAUAUAAAAUAAACUUUAAUUAUCUAAUUAAAAUUAUUAAAUACUUAAGUAUUACCAUGCCUAAGAAUUAAAAGAACUUUUCAUUUUUUCAAGGCAUAAAAAAAUAACAAAGGAAAAAUCUUGAUUCAAAUAAAUAAAUAAUUCCAUGGAAAAUAUAGAAAUGAAAAUAAUAUUUAUAUUGUGUAAUACUAUAUUGCAGUAGUCUACAAUUUAUCAGUCUUAUUUGGAUUGAUUUUUAAGAAGUCAAAAGUUCUUUUAUAAGCUCAAGAAGGACUUCUAUGUCUCUUUAAUUAAUUUUAUUUGAAUGGCUAAUGGUUUAAAAAGAAGAUAUGAAAACUACAUAUAUUUUUUUUUAUACUUUUUAUAAAGGUGCAUAGCACCUCAUGCUAAUAAUUUUGUAUAACAAAAUAAAUAUUUCAAAGGCACCUCCAAUUACCUAGAAAAUGAAUUUUCAAUUUAUCAAAUACUUAAUUUUUGUAACAAAGAUGUUUUUGAGCAUUAUCGAACAUUUCUAACUUUUCUAAAAUCAUGACCAAAUGACUCAUAAUCUUUUCGAAUACUAAAACAUUCAUCAAAUUAUUUUGUUAUGAGCUUUUUAUUUUAAUUAAAAGGUUAAAAUAAACACUAACUUUAUUAAUUUUAUGUUCCAAAAUAAGUUUCUUUGAAAGCUUGUAAUGUAAAUUGAUUAAUGAAUUUCAGUUAUGAAUGAUCUCGGGGAGUUUGAAUUAGAAAUUUUGAGAUAACACUUUUUUUUAAUUGUUUAUGAUUAAAUAUGUAUCAAAUAAACGUACAAAACUGAAAAGACUUUAGAGGGUGAUGAUAAAUCAAUUUAAUGACUUAAUUUAAGUUAUUAAAUAUAUUAAGCAUGUUUGAUAAAAUAAUAAAGUUAAAAAUGAUUAUGAGAAAUCAUCUUAACAAUUAAGACUCCAUGACUUAAAUACAAUUAAUUUAACUUAAAGUCAUCUUACCCCGAUAAAUAUCAAGUUUUACCAAAAUUGUUGUUAAUGAUCUCAAUAAUUUUUUAUUUUCUUUCUAAAUAAAAUUAUUUUCAUUUAUUUAUUAAUGGAUUAUGGAGAAUAACCAUCCUCUCCCCAUCCUCUUUUUAAAUUGCAUACCAAAAGUUAGAUAGAGAUUCAAAAAGGAUCCAUAAAUGCAAGUGAUGGAAGGAGCAAUUAAUUUGUUUUAUUAUUCACCAUUUUUCAAAUUCCAUUUUCUGUGAAUACCCCUCCUACCUAAAUGACUUUUAAACAAAAACUUUGAUCAUGUUUUCUAUGCUUGUUUUUAAAAAUUAUUUUUAGUGUUUUAUAGAAAUAAAGGUGUUUGACAAAUUAUUUUUUAAACCAGUUUUUAAAAAUAAAAAAUAAAAAUUUUGUUUGAAUAAAUUAUUUAAUUUUUUUUUUAUUUUGUAAAAAUAUUAUAAAUUCAAUUUAUAUAACGUGAAUUAAACAAAAAUCUUUUUAUUACGUUUCCUUCCUUAGGUUAUAUUUGGUUUUCAAAAUUUUGAAGGAAAGAACAUAAAUAAAAAAUAAACUUUGCUGUAGUAAAUUUUCUCUUCCUUUUAAUUAAAAAAAAUAUUAAGAAAUCAAAAUCUUAGCUGGAUCAUUGGAGUCAGCGUGGGACUUCCAGGCUGGCCCGUGUGCAUGCCAUUAUUUAUUUAUUUUUGUAAUUUCAAAGCAUAUUAUUUUUAUUUUCAAUAUUUUAAGACUGGCGCAUUUUUCAAGCUUAAGAUUCUCUUUAUAAUUAUGGACCUAUGGUUGUUGGUUGUAUCAAGAUUAAUUUAAAUGUUAGAUAAGACUUAACACAAUUUACUAGCAAUUUAUUAAAUUUGAUUUGAUAAAAUUAGACAAUAGAAUUAGCCUGUCAUCUUUUUCAUUUUAUAAUUAUGGCCGGCUUGGUUCUUAUAAAUAUGAAGAUUAAAUUAAAAGAUUAGGUAAUGACACCCACUUACAAUUCAUUAAACUCGAUUUAGUAAAACUAGCUUAUAAAAUUAGCUUGACUUUUUUGUUUUUUAUAAUUAUGGUCGACAAGCUUUUUCUCAAUUUGGGAUGACAAUAAGACGAUUUUUUUUUUACCUAUCUCUAAUAAGACAAAUUUGAAAUUUAAAUAAAUCAAUUAGGAGUGGAUUUGAGAAUUUUUUUUAAAAAAACCUAAGGCAAGUUUGGGAUGAGUUUGAGUAUUACCUAGUCCUGCCAACCCUACCUUGAUUAUACAUAAAAUUAAUUUAAUUUAACUUUUAUUUUCCUAUUUUUAAUAAAAUAAGUUAUAAAAAAUUAUAAUAUUUUAAUCAUUUAUAAAAUAUGUUUAUUUUGAUAUAAUUUAAUUUUUUUAAAAAAAUUAUUAUUAUCAUUUUUUUUUAAGUUAAAGCCAAGGUAUAGAAAAUUUGUAUACCCAUCCUGCCCUACCUCAUCCCAUUUAAUUUUUUUAAUAGGACGACUGACGAGUAUGAAAAUUAUUUUGAAUAAAUGAAAUAGGAGUGGAAUGAGUGCAACCCAUCCCCAACUUGCACUGUUGUCUUCUCCAACGUCAAGAUUAAUUUAAUAAAAGAUUAGGUAAGGGAAUCUAGUUUCAACUUAUUAAAUUCAAUUAAUUUAAAAGGUUAGUCAAGCAAAUCCACUUGCAAAAAUUUAAAAUCGAAAUCCACUUCAAAAUAAUAAUGAUGAGCCAUUUUUUUUCUUCUUGCAUUGAAUUUAUUGCUAAUUGGACUUAAAUAUAAAUAAAACUAAUUAAAAUUUAAAUACCACUCAAUAAAUAAUAUAAUAAAAUAUAAUUAUCUAAUUAAAAUUAAUAAAUACUUAAAUUAGGUUGGAGUUAUUUGGCCUCACCCAAAGUUCAAUUCGAGGUGGAUUUUUUAAUCUACGCAUAAUUUAAAUUGUAAAAGAGGCCAUCCAAGUCUUUUCAAAUUCAUUUAAAUUGUAAAAGAGGUCAUCCAAGUCUUUUCAAAUUCUUAUUGAGUUUGAAUUUCGUUAUGUUGAAACUUCCCAAAUUUGAUUACUAAUUUAAUCCAUGAUAAAUUAAAGUGAUGGUUUAAAAGAAUGAAAUAAAAUUUGAACAUUUGUCGAGAGAUGGACCGUCUUUAGUAUUAGUAAUUGGCUUCUGAUAGAUUUGCAAGGAUGUAGCACAACUACAAGGCUUGGUGCGAUGGGGAGUGUCUGGUGGUCAAGAGUGCAUACAUGAUCCCAACUUACUGUUUAAACUAGGCAAAAAAGUUGUCAUAGGAUGAUAUCUAACUGUAAAUUUACCAACAACAAAUAAUUGAUUUCGAAAUUAGGACUCCCAAGGGUGUUCUCGUUGAGUGGUUAUGCAAUAAAUGAGACACCAAAUUCAUUCUAUGGUUUAAAACAUUUGAUUCAAGAGAUGAUCAUUUAUUAUAAUCUUCAAAUGUUGAUACAAUCAAGUUAUAAACAUUUUACCAAGAUACCUAUUAACUUCGGGAAUCUAAUUAACCUUUGAUAUCUUGAUAUUAUUGUUACAAGUCUAUUAGAAGAAAUGUCUUUAGAAAUUGACAAACUAAAAGAUUUGUAAAUACCGUCUAAUAUCAAUCCCGGAUUGGAUGGGGAGAAAGGUUCAUGAUAUAUGUAGUGAGAUUCUCUUAAUUAUUAUGUUGAUGAAUUUUGAGCCGAGUGUUUUGCCCUAGAGACACCAUCUGAAUGGGCCCUUUUGUCCCAAAGACAACAUCUACAUGGAAAGGAGCAGUCGUUAAUUCAAGGAAAAAUCUUUCCACCUGAAUCUAAACUUUUCCAGAUGCUCGCUCUACAGCAGGUUUGGAUAGCCCAACUGAUUGAGUAGCCUAUCCCAAGAAGUCAAAAUAUGAAGUUUUGUUGAUUUGAAUCCAUUAUUUGGUCCUAAGUCGCUGAAUCUUUCUGAAUUUUCCACAGUAAUCAUUCCAAAUAUCCCAAAAUUUUAGUUCAUUUGGCUGAACUGCUAGGGAGUGAUAAUGACAAAAAACUUUAAUUUGAUUUAGGAGGGUCACCUGUAUCUCAAUUCAUAGAUUCUAAAGAAUGGAUUACUUAACAAGAAGCAAACCCAUCAGAAAUGCUUAACCCUCGAAUCUUACUACGAGAAAAUGGAACAUAAACAGCAAUGACCAAACGCUCAUUUUCAGAUAAUCAACGAAGCUAAAACCGAAGAAAAAUCAAACCAAUUCUUGAAAAAACAAAGCAAUAAGAGCUCUUCAAACUAUCAAAUUUCUAUAAACGCAGUAAAAAUAAAUAAAAAAAAUCCACAACUGCAACUAACUAGCUGAAAAGAAUAGUCCUUGAAAUUACCCUUUCAAUGGAUGACUCAGAGGAACGAACAAACCGGACAACUGGGCUGGCCUUGGGGUCAGGGAGGGCAUAGUUGAAGGUGGAAUUGAGGGGUCUAGAGGACUCAACCGGGGGCUUUGAUGGUGGGUUCGAAGACAAGAUGGUUUCAGUAGGAGGAGAUGGUGGCGGCGGCGGCGGUGAUGAUUCAUGAGAUGAUGAGCUCACGGAAGCGAGACAAGGCGAAAAUCGCCUGUGAUUUGUGGGAGGACGAAGACGAGACAGGGAGAGCGACAGUGGAGUGUAGGACAUUGCAGCGAAGAGGGCCAUCGCAGAGGGAACUGAGAGAGGAAAGGACAAAACAAAAUGAAGAAAGCGUGGUGUGAGCCUGUGAGGAGUCUGAGGACUGACAUAGUGACAUAUGAGGUCAAUGUUUUGUGUGUGUGGAGCCCACGGUUGCUCAUCACGCGGGUAAAUUAACGGUCUGGUUUAAUCGCAUAGCUCACAAUUCUGAGUCCGAAAAUCAUUUUAAAUACUUUCUUAUUUAUUAUGCUCGUAUAUAAAAAACAAAAUAUAUCAAUUAUAAAUUUCACAAAUUAAUUUUUUUAACCGUUGAUUUGGUUAAUAAAUAUAUAUAAUAAAAUUAUACUCUUUCUCGUAAUUAUUUCCAUAUAUAUAUAUAUAUUUCUUGGGUCAGAUUUUCUUAAGAUUAAUUUUGAUGAUUAUGGAGCAAAAAAUUAAAUUUUAGGAGGAUUUAUUCUCAGUAGAAAGGAUUACUUGGAGGAUAAUGUUGAAGGUCUAGGAGCCGAAUAAUCUAAGUAUGAGGAGUUUAAGGUUAUGUUUAGUUCCUUAAAGUUAUUAAGGAAAAAAUAAAUAAAUAUUAAGUAAAUAAAAAAUAUUAAAAAAAAUAAAUUUCUUGUAUUUAAUUUUAUAAUAAAAAAAUCAAACAUAAUUAAAAUGGUAAAAAAUUUAUAUAUUUUUAAAUUGUUAAUCCUUAUAUAAUAAAUGAAAAUAAUUAAAAAAAAUUAUUUUAUUUUAUUUUAUUUACUUUCCAUCACUUUUUUCUUUGAAAUAGUGAAUGAAAAAAUAAAAUUAAAGUUAAUAAAUUAAAUUAAUUUAAUUUGUUAUUUCAAACUUAUUUUAAAUUUUUAUAUAAAGAUAAAAUAAUUUAAAAAUGUAUAGAUUUUUAACCAAUUUUAAUUAUAUUUGAUUUUUUUUUAUUUUUCAUAUUAUAACAUAAUAUGAAAAAAUCACUUUCCUCGUUAUUUUUUUCUUUAUUACUUUUUGAAACAAAUAUAACCUAAGAGUAUGUUUGGUUUCUGAAAAUUUAAGAGAAAAUGUUAAGGAAAGAUAAAACAAAAGAAAAUAAAAAAAUAAAUUCAAAGUCAAUAAUUAUUUUAUAUAUUUUUUAAAAUUCAUUUAACUUAUUUUCCUCUAUUAUGUAAAGAUUAAAUAAAUUUAAAAUACAUCAACUUUUAACUAAUUUAAGUAAUACUUGAUUUUCUUUCGUAUUUUCUAUAUUAAAAUUAAAUAGAAUAAAAUCAUUUUUCUCAACAUUUUUUUUGCCUUAGCAUUUUCCUAAAAUCAAAUAAAACAUAAAAGUUUUGAAUUGAAAGCGUAUGUCAUUGUAUAAUUUUAUUGAUUGGUUGGAUCCUUACUAGGGAAUGAAGUCGUUUUUUGUUUUUUGUAUAUAUUUUGUGUGCUUUUUCUAUGCUAUUGAUAUGCGCUUGGAGAUUUUAAUAAUAUAUAUAUAUAUAUAUAUAUAUAUAUAUAUAUAUAUAUAUAUAUAUAUAUAUAUAUAUAUUUAUAUAUUUUUCUUAACUUCUUAUUUUUAUUUUUAAUGUGAAAGCACUUUUAGAUUUAGCAUGCCCAUAUUAUUAGUUGUAAACAAAUGAUAGAAUUGAAAAGAAUGGUUUGGGCUUUGUUCUCAGAAGAAACAAUGAUGGUAUUAUAAGUAGAGAAAAGGCUACAAAUUAUAGAUGGGAGAUCCUCUCAAUUAGAAGAUGUUAUGAGAGGAAGGUAAAAGAAAGAAUGACAAUAACAAAAAAUAGACACCAACCCAAGGCCCACAGCACAAAUAUCCAAGUCCACCACUGAAACACAAAACAAGGGUGAAGGUGAAGACAAGAUGGAAGGCAUUUGGCUUCAAGGGGAGAUAUGAUCUAUUGGCGAACCUAUCAGCUUCCUGAUCGGUUGCUCUAGACUUUCAACAGAAGGAGCAUCUCAUGUCUCUAGACAGCUUCUCUAUCCUUUUCAACCAAUGGUUAUGUCUCCAUAAACAACCCUUCUUUUAUUUGUGGCAGGUCGAUUUUACAUCUCAAACUUGCAUGGCAUAUUGCUGUUGAAUUGAAACCCACUAAAUUUAUUUUGGCAUUAUGGUCAUCCCCCUCUUAUGUGCUAACUUAUUUCAUUUUCUGCCAGGUUUAGCCCUGAAGCUCUAAACUGGCUGUUCAUCAAGGGAUUGGUUGGCUGGUUUUUGCAAGUCUCACUGCUGAAAGUAUCAUUGCUUUCAUUGGAUAGUGGGGAGGCACCUUUUCUGGACAUUGUGGCAUAGCAGCGUACACUUUCACAGGGAUGUGCUUGGCUGUCCUUGGGAGGGAUCAUGUGGAGCAUCUCAUAUUAUUUCUUGAUGCCCUGGGCAUGCCUAUGCAUGGGAAUAUUCUUGGUAAAGACCAUGAAGAGAAUCCUCUUUGCAGAGGUGAGGAGUUAUGUUUCCAGCAAGCAUCACUAUCUCUUGCUCCUUAUUGCUUUGGCUCAGUUCCCACUUUUCAUAUGGCUUGGCAACAUUAGCCUUCAUUAGCUUUUCUGAACUUCAUCUUUUGAUAAAUGUAUCCGGAAACAAUUUGCUUCUGUGGAAGUCUUAAAAUGUUGUAGUUUUGGUCUAUGAUCUCGGCCAAGUGACCAUUCUCCUGGACUAGAAAUAUUCUUUAAACUUAUGCUAAAGCUUAAAUAUGAUUCAAUUGUUCUCCUAGUUAAAACAGAAACCAAGCACUUGGCUUCCUUGUUCAGAAUUAUUUAUCCUUUUUUUCCCAAUUGAUUGGAAAUGAACUAGUUUAGCACUUGUACUUUGACAUGUUCACUUCAAGCAACUGUAGUUAAUAAAACAAUUGAGCAUGAACUGGAGUUGCCGAUGGAAUCCUGAAAGUGGAUGACAUAAAUUACUUGGUGCCUUCUUCUGGUACAUGAUACUCCUGAACUGAAUGUCAGCAUGGUAUUCAUGAAUCAAGUUUCAAAACAAUUGAGCUCAUAUAGAUCUUGCAUAACUGGAAAUCAAAGUGAAUCUCAUGUUGUUUUUGAUGGGUUUAGAAUAAAAUCAAUGACAUCACUAUGGCCUUUGUCAAUGACUUGGUUUUAAACUCUGGUUCAAAACAUCCACUGCAAUGGGAAAAUGACCUUAACAUCCAGUGAUGACUUCGUUUUAGACUCUGGUUCAAAACAUCCACUGCUAUGAGAUAAUGGCCAUAACAUCUGAUGGACCUCAUUUUCCCAGACACACGGAGAUGGAUUAGGUAGGGGUGACUCUGAAUCACUUGCAUUGAGUCUACUUCGUACAAAGUCCCUGAGGUCAGUUGAAGGUAGUCUGGUGAUCAGCUUGAUAAUUCCAAAUACUUGACGCGAGGCUAGAUGCUUGAGGGUAAAUCAAGAGGCACAGCAGUUGUAAAUCGUCUCCCCAUAUGGCAAAACCUAUUCUGUCACAAUGAUAAAAAGGUGUUCAAUUAUGGCAGGUAAUGGAGCUUCAGGCAAUAGGAUGUGAGACAGUGAGAGGUCAAGAUAGAGCAACAUACAUUUCUUGCCCAUGGAAUGAUGCCCAUCCAAUAUAUACAGACUGCAAUUUUUAGCAUAUUGAAGAAAGUUGGCCUCUCAUUAAGGCACUAAGAUCACAUUUAGAAAUCUCAAAGAAUUCUGAGAAUGUGUCGAUGCCUUGCAUCAUUCCAUUUAGAAAUCUGAGUUCCAGAAAGGUGUUAAUGCCGAUGUUCCGAAAUUUUGAGACCGUGUUGCAAUCUAUUCUCCUGCCACAGUAACAAGAUUUCUUUACAAUGAACAGUCAUGAUAAUUUCACAUCUGCUAAUGCUAGCAUAAGCCACAUUGAGAAAACAAUUGAUCCUUGGAUUAUUACCAAUCUCUAAGGAAUUGAAAAAGGCCAGAUGGUCAAGCUCCAAAGUUCUUGACGACAUUCCCAGUUCACCAAUCAACGAUAGUAUCAUACGUGAAACAGAAGACACAAAGUCUGGAACAUUCAAAAUCAAAAGCAUCUGUUUUGAUUAUUUAGCAAGAAAAAUAACAUAAUGGAUCUUAUUUGUAUGUAUAUCAAGUUUAACAACACGCCAUUGCAUGACUCCUUAAUUGGCUUCCAAUAUUCAGAUAAUUCAAAGGCACCAUUAUGUUUAAUUCCGAUAUAAAAGACUGUCAAAGAAGGGGGAUAUAAAUUUGUACGAGAGUUAACAAACCUCUGGUUUUUUGUCAGCAAAAUCUCAUUAACUGGAUUCCUGAAAAACGUAGUAAAAAUAAGUAAACGCUCAUUAGAGUUAAAUUCCAAAUCCAAAGUCAAUAGAAGGUUGUUUAUUGUAGAACCAAACACAAUUACUAAACCUUAUAAUGCAAGAACACAAAAUUGUCCAGAAACACAUUUUCCAUCUUAUCAGAUCCAAUUUAUGGCCUUCCUGCAUUACUGCAUUUUAUAUUUGAAAGGUAAAUCAGACAUUUUUUAUGUGAGUAAUAAGAGAGUAAAUGGCAUAAAAGGCAAACCAUACAAAUGAAGAAGUUGUAAACAUAUAAGAGUGCUUACUGAUCACUGUUGAAUGAUAUUUAAUUGUCUCUCUUUCAAUCUGCAAGAGUUUAUACUCAGUGAAUCACAGUAUGCUACCAAGAAUAAUGCCUCAUUUCCUCGUUGUUGGAAAAAAAUGUAGUGAAAAACAUGUAAGUUGCCAAUAGAAAUAUACUAAUUUAAAAAUAAAGCAUUUCAAAAUACAUAAGGUUUGUACAAGUUGUAACUGACCUGAAAAAAAUCUGUAUGAUAAAGCUCAUUUUAAUGAAUCCUAACAAUGGUUAAAAAGACAUCCAAAAGGAGGAAAGCUGGAUCAGCAUUGCGCAUCCACCUAAAAGGAGUAACAUGAAAUGCAUCAAAAUAAAAUGAGAUGAAAAGAAAAUAGUAGUGCUCAUAAAAAUCCUUUCUGCAAAAUAAUGCAUAAAGACGAGCAAUUCAUCAAUGUAAAACAAAUACAAACUGUUCUUUAUAUAGGUCAUAGUUCCAUCAGAGAGCAAUUUCAAACCAUCACAACAACUGAGCACAAGACUUAAUAACAUGGAUGACAAACCGAUCCUCAGAAGGAACAUAAAGAAAUGUGUGAUUCUCGACUCUCCAAGAGAUGUGUGACUAUUCAGUCUUACUGGCAGCUUCUCCAAGAUAGCACAAAAAAUAGCUUCAUGUCUACUGAAGACAGGUGAACUAAGCAGUGUCCAAGGAUCGGUGCCAAAAUCCUCUCUGUAAGCUAGUGCUUAGGGAACACCUCAAGUCAUAAACAUAGAAAAUUUAGAAAAAAAGUUAGCAAAUAUAGGAAUCUAAAAAAACCAAUAAAAAUGGAAAAUAAAAAUUGUAACUUACCAUGAUCUUGCUAAGCUGUUGUUUAUCCUCUUUCUACACUCUUAACAUCAACAAUAGAAACAAAAACAACAAGUGGCAAUAGGAAUUUGCCACAGUCACUAUAGACAUGGAGCCUCCAAAUAUAAAACCCGAAUCCCCUUCAACAAGAAGAAAAAUACUUAUACUCUGACACCUGGGACAUGCACCUUUUAUACCUGCAAACUCCAAAAGAAGAGAUACGGUUUCAUCAAAUUAAAAAUUUGAGAAACUAAAGCAAAACCGUUUUGUUUCUGCUCAAAUUUGUACAACUAGGCAUAUGUAAAUAUGACAGUAGAUCACAUUUUGGAAACCAAGUGGGAUAUAUUAGAAUAGAUACAAGCUGCUGUUGUUGCUAUGUAAUAAUUCCAUUAGGUAGUUCUGGGCUAUCACAGUCACAGAGAAAAGACCACUUGGGAUAAAUUGAAAACCAGUUCUUGUGAAAGACAAGUUUCAUGCACUGAAUGGUUCCCAACUUUCAAAGGAAAUAAAAGAUCAUACAACCUUAUGAGCGGCUUCCCCAGGAGGGCAAGAAAAGAGGUUCUUAUUUAUUAAAGAUGCAAAUGAAAUCUUGAUUCAGAGGACCUCUGUAAAGCACUGAAGAAUCUAUCACAAGUCAUAAAAGGAAAAAAAAUUUACAAAGAUAGUCCUUAGAACACAAUAAUAUAUAGAAUCAACUAUAUAAAUGAAAGGCACGCACCACAAUUUGGCUAGAUUGUAUUUUAUCCUCUUUUUGUUGUACUAAAAAAUGGUAAUAAAGUGCCAAUGAGCCUUUGAUAUAGGAUGAACAUUCCAAUCAGUCAGCACAAUGAAAAGACCACAUGACCUCCUGUGAUACUUUGGACCCAUCCUUUUGAUACCUGCAUCAUCAAUGUAAACAAUUUGGUACAUAAAACUGUAAGACUUAUUAUUACCGUUCAGAGGUAGCCGAGUUAAAUGACAACAACUUGCAAAAAUAUAUGUAUGGGAAAUAGAAAGUGAUAUUGAGGAGAGAAAGAGGAAGAAUUGCAUGUUGGGAAUGAGCAUCCAGUGGACAAGAAGAAAAUUCAAGAAAAUUAGUCAUCAAAAUAGAUAAAUAAAUAAACAAAAUAUAUAGAUGACGGUGACUCACUGUAGUCUUGCUGGCUUAUUCUUUGUCCCCUGUUGACACUAAAAAAAAAUAAAAAUAAAAAGAGCAACAGGGGACAACUGGAACUAGCUGCAUUCACUCCAUACUUUGAAGUCUUUGAUAUAAUACCUAGAGUUCCAUCCUCUUUGAGAACCUGCAUCAUAAAUGUAAAAAUUUAAUAACCAGAUGACAAGACACUGGAUAGUAGCUAUGAUGACAUCUAAUAAGUUGAACUAAAAAAAUCAUGGCUGCACAGGGGAAUUGAUAAAGCCAUCUAAUUACCAUAGCAAUUGAACUUUAAUAAACUGCAUUUGCUUCUAGUAUAUAGCCUCCUCUGUAUGUCAGCCUGAACUCUAUUCUGGAAAACAGAAAAUUAUACUUAAAAAUGCAAUUGAAUAGUACAACUGAUGGAAUAAAAAUUAGAAGACAUUGCUAACCAGUGGCUAUUGCUAAAUAUUCCACCUGCCCUUGAAUGGCAUAAAUGGAUCCUCUCUUAUCCUUUUUAUCGUUGUAAGUAUCACAUAUCACCUCUUCAACUUCAAUGGUCACUGAGAACUAAAAAGAACAAAGGAAAAAGGAAAAGUGAGUACCCCAUGGAGAUUAUGGACAAGAUUUAGUAAAUAGAAUUGGAGAGGCAGAGGCAGUGAUGCAUACCUAGAAUUGUGUCAAAUUGAAGAGAGAACCAAGCUACAAGCCAUUUCCAAAGCCCCUUCCUAGGCAAAUUUUUAACAAAAAGUCUAGUAAGAAACUUACAAGUAAUCAAUUGGGGAAACUGCUAUAAUGUAUAUGAGAAAUUGAACGAGGUAUUGAGGAGUGAAAGACAAAGAACAGGCGUACCUUGUUUAAUGUAAAGAUGGGAGAGGGUUGAAUGGUGUUUGCUCAAACACGUUUUUAUCAUCUGUUUGCACAUAGGGAAUGUGGGCGAUGUUGGGCCAAUCUUGCCCUUUCCUCUUCGAGCACCUUUGUUUUAGGAGUGGGCAGUCUUUGAUAUAUAGUCGUGAAAGCGUGUCAGGCAGCCCUUCCCUUGGGCAAAACGACUCAAGCUUAGGGCAACAUCGGAUCCAUAGCUCUUCAAGUGAGGUGAGGGUUUGGAGAGCCAGGGAGGAUAGAGAUUUCAGAUUCUGGAAAUCAUUAAUGGAAAGAAGGGUGAGGGUUGUAGGAAGAAUCGGUGGUCUUUGACCAUCUGAAAAGGAGGCAACUGGUGGAAAUAUGCCACCAAUGGUGAGUUUUUUAAGAGAGGUAAGUGUGGCAAGGCCCCAUCGGGAUAGGGGCGUCUUGAUAUUCUCACAAUCAGAGAUAGUAAGUGAUGUAAGAGCAGUGAGGUUUUGCAGAUGAUAAGGUUGCAGCUCCACAUUCUCACACUUAUUAAUCUUCAGUUCUCUGAGUUUGUAGAGACAAUCUGGUACAAUUUUGAGACAGGGAUACGACGAGAUACUCAAAUAUUCAAGUGAACUAUUAUUGGAGUGAAACAUCUCCUCUGAAAUCGACUCCAGUUGUGCACAAUCCCAAAUCUCAAGUUUCUGAAGGGUGGAGGGAAACUUGCCUGUGGGGAAGAAUGUGAGAGAUGGACAAUCCCAAAUAUCCAAGACAUGAAGACCACCACUGGUGGCGGUGGUGGUGUUGGAAUCAUGGUGCAUCAUUCCCCCCGGUAGAGACUCUAGCUUUUCACACUCCCAUAUCCUGAGUUGCUUGAGCGUGGUGGGUAACUCACCUUCUGGAAAACCAAUGAGAGAUGGACACGUAUCUAUCUUCAAGUAUUCAAGGAGACACACGUCGCUACCGUUAUUACUACCAUCUUUCAUCACCAUCAUCCAAUCAGGUAGGCAUCGUAGACCUUCACAACCAACAAUAACAAGACGUCUAAGCAUGGGCGGGAACCCCAACUCUGGAAAUGACACCAGCUUUGGACAACCAUAGAUUUCCAACUCUCCAAGACAUGUUAGCCUGUGCAAUCCAUUUGGAAGCUUCUCUAGGUUAUUACACCCCGAAAUUGUCAAAGAUUGAAGCUUGCUAGGCAUCUCGUGCUUUUCCUUUUCUCCCAAGGAUACAAGCUCGGGACAACUGCUAGUUUGCAACUGCUGAAUACCAUCAAAUCCAUUUUCCCACAAACACGUCAAUUCAUCACAACCACAAAUGUCUAAAACUUGAAGCCCCGACAACAAUUGCAUACACCCUUCAUGUAAUCUGGUGAGCCCUACAAUUCUUUCAAUUCUUAACUCGGUGAGUGAAGGCAAUUCCAAUCCACUCCUUAGUACCGCCUCAUUGCAAUCUUUUACUCUUAAUUUAGAAAGAGAUGAAAGCCUUUCAAGUGGAGGCACCCACUGUGGGCAUCCCAAAAUGGAGAGAUGUACAAGGGACGGUAGGUUAGUGGGUAGUUUCUUGAUUAAUUUGGGGCAAUCUACGAUUUUAAGGUGAAGGAGACAAGGAUAUGGCUCUGAUAAAGUUGGACUCUCCCAAUCUUCCCAUUGUGACAUAUCCGAAAAAGAUAGAGACUCUAAGGACGGGAAAGGCUUAUUGGGAAGACAAGUCUCUCCAUAAAACUCUCUACCCACAAUUUUUACUUCUUUUAACCCUUCAAUCCUUACGUGUUUGAGCAUGGGUAACCACCCCAAACACGG